rnacentral:lncRNA from 1 species
AAAUCUCUGGACAAAAUGGGUUGUUUCAAUUGCUUUGCUUUGGGAUUCUUCGUGGCUCUGUCGCUUGCAAGCAUUGAUGUCGGGGUUGCAGCUCGUCACCUUCAGCAACUGCCUCCAAUGCCAACAUUGCCUACAACCACACUCCCACCAUUCCCAUCUAUCCCUAAUCUCCCACAGCCAUCCAUACCAUCUUUCCCAAGGCCUGGGGCGCUUCCUCCACUUCCUACCAUGCCUGCUUUGCCCACAUUGCCUAGUGUACCAAGGGCCACAUUGCCCCCUCUACCAAGCAUGCCUUCAAUUCCCACAAUCCCAACUACAAUUCCCUCUAUUCCAUUCUUCUCUCCACCACCUUCUCCUUCUAGUCCUUAAAAAUCCCUUUCGCUAGGUGAUGGGUGGCUAUUCCAACCCAGAGUCUUAUUUUUUGGUCCACCACUUAUAUUGCUUUGUAUAAAUGGGAGUUUCCCCAAUUCCCAUGAUUUUCUGUACUUUGAUAGUUAUUUUGCUUAUUAUUGGAUUAUAUACUUACUUUUUAUAUAUAUAAUGUUUUCAUUAACUAAUUAACACUACACUAAAACAGGCUUUUAGCGGCAUUUUUAGUGGCGUUUAGACAAAAAACACCGCUAAAAAUCGAGCAUUAGCGGCGCUCAACAUAAAACGCCGCCAAAGAUCGAGAUGAGGAAAAAACGCCGCAAAAAACCUAAGCCCAACGACACCGUUUUCUGACCUUUUGGGGCUUUAGUGGCGUUUUCUCAAAAGUGCCGCUAAUGCUCUAGCUUUUAGCGGCGUUUUUAAUAAAGCGUCGCUAAUGCACAGAGCUUUAGCGGCGUUUUUAGGAAUGCGCCGCUAAUGCUCAGACCUUUAGUGGUGUUUUUGAAAAAGCGCCGCUAAUGCUCAGACCUUUAGCGGAGUUUUCGAAAAAGCGCCGCUAAUGCUCAGGGCUUUAGCGGCGCUUUUCAAAAAGCGCCGCAAAAACAUUUUACAUGUCUAUUUACUAUUUAAUUUGUUUAUUUAUAUUAAUUAAAAUUCAAUUUAUUUUUAAUUAAAUAUUUUUUAAAAAUGGAUCAAUUUAAAAUAAUAACACGUAGAAAUAAUUUGAAAUAAAAAACAUAAAAAAUAUUUGUUAAAAAUGGAAAAAUUAAAAUACUAUUAUUUAAAAUAAUUUUAAAAUUUUUUGGGUACAUGACUGAUUGGUUUUUAAUUUAUAUAUUAAAUAAUUUCAUAUAUAAUUGUAAAAGAUACGAUAGUAUUAAUUUUAAAAUAUUUAAUUAAUUAUCAUUAUAGUUUAGGGUUUAAUAUAUAUGGUUUAAGGUAUAUGGUUAAUUUAGGAUUUAAGGCCGGUUUAGGAGUUACAAUUUUAAGGUUUAUAGAUUAUGGAAUUAGGGACUAUGGAUUAGGAAUUUUGGUUUAAGGGUUGUGAUUUAGGGGUGAAGGGUUAAGGGUUAGAGAUUAAGAGUUAGGGAUUUAAGGUUUAUGGAUUCGGUGUCAGGUUAGGGUUUAAGGUUUAGAUUAAUUAGUGUGUUUUAAUUUAUAUUAAAUAAGGUUUAAAGGUUAGGGGUUAGGGAUUUGGGUUAGGGUUAGAGUUUAGGAUUUAGAUUAAUUAGUGUUUUUUAAUUUAUAUAUUAAAUAAGGUUUAGGGCUUAAUAGUCAGGGGUUAGGGGUUAGAAGUUAAAAGUUAGUGAUUUAGGGUUUAGAGAUUUAGGGUUGGGUUAGAGUUUAAGGUUUAGAUUAAUUAGUAUUUUUUAAUUUAUAUAUUAAUUAAGUUCUUANNNNNNNNNNNNNNNNNNNNNNNNNNNNNNNNNNNNNNNNNNNNNNNNNNNNNNNNNNNNNNNNNNNNNNNNNNNNNNNNNNNNNNNNNNNNNNNNNNNNNNNNNNNNNNNNNNNNNNNNNUUUUUAAUUUAUAUAUUAAAUAAUUUCUUAUAUAAUUGUAAAAGAGAUAAUAUUAAUUUUAAUAUAUUAAAAUUAUUAUUAUAGUUUAAAUUAUUUAAGAGAUAAUAGAUCAAUUUUAUAUAUAUUAAAUGGUUUAGGAUUUAAGGUUUACUUUAGAUUUGUUUUAUUAUAGACCAAUUUUAUUAUAGUUUAAAUUAUUAAAUAGUUUAAAUUAUUAAAAUAUACUAUAUUUAUUUUGAGAGUACUUGAUUUUUUUAAUAAAAAUCCAGUUUAUAAAAAAUAGUUAUAAAAAAUAUUUUAUAAAAUCACAUAACUAAUAAUUUUUAGCAAAUAAAAUAAAAAAUUUUUAACAGAGCAAAACGACGUCGUAUUGAUCAAGAUAAAAUAAAUUUUUUUGUGGCGUUUUUAUAAAAAAUGGCGCAAAAAAAACAUUUUACUUCAAAAAAAAUGGCGCCUGUUUAUCCCUAAAUUCCCCCCUGAAGCCCCUAAUUUUCCCCCUAAAAAUAAUCACCUCAGCACACUAUUACUCCCUCAGCUCUGCGCGAAAUCCUAAAGCAAUGCCUCCCAAAGUAGCUAAAUCCCUAGAAACAACGAACUCGCCUUCAACCUUCUUCUUCAAACCAGGUCCCCCUCUCUCUCUUGCUCUCUCUUUGCUUUUUUGCCUGAUUUUUUUUGUUUUUUUCUUAGAUGAGUCCCUGGAUGGUUGGAGUCUUAUUGUUUCAACAAGGCAAGUGGGUGUUCCAGAUCCAUCAUUGAAGCUGGAAAUACAUAUUUCCAGGAUUUUAGGCAGUUUUUCUUGGUUGUUUUAUGGGCUUAAAUCGAAGUCGUUUAAGAUCUUCUGCUCCGUUUCACUCCAAGCCUUUGUUUCGUAGACAUCUUCAAUCCAUGAAGUAAGUUCCUUUUUCCAAAUCUCUGUCCUUUUUCUGUUUUCCUGAUUUUUGAGGCACUUAUUGUUUGAUUAUUUGUUGAUUAUGGGAUCUGGGUACUCGGAUAUCUAUAGCAAAGUCAAUUUAAGCUGCCUGUUAUUUGAUUAGGUUGUUGGUUAUGCUAGCUUGAGUUGUGAAUCUGGUGAACAAAGAACUUGCAUAAAAUCUCUUUAGUUUCUUUCUUUUUAAAAAUCAUUAACUAUAACUUUACUAGUAAGAAAUGAGAAAUAUCAAACCCACCACUUCUCAAUAUCCGAGCAUUUAACUUUACUAGAAUACCUUGUGCUCUUGGCAACAUUUGGCUGCCCCUACAUUUCUUAAAAUUUUUUCUAAUUCAAAUUCAUAUUUACUGUUUUUUGAACAAAAAUUAAUAAUAAUUUUGUUUUGUCAUUUCUUCUAAUAUUAAUAACUAGCUACUUAUACUAUAUUAGAGAAUCAAAUAUUCACCGAGUCAAUGGAGUAUAUAAUUUAAAUAAAUUAUCCUUGAGAUAGUACCGAACCAGUUUUCCUCUUUGAAAUUGCUUUAACUAGUGAAAUGCUUCGGUAGUUUGCUAUCUUUGUGGUGGAAAUUGUUGAUGUCUAUUUUGGACUUUGGAGCUAUAAUUUCAUUUUUUUUAUAUGCAAUUUUAUUUUAUUUUCUUUAUACAGGAUGAGAACCNNNNNNNNNNNNNNNNNNNNNNNNNNNNNNNNNNNNNNNNNNNNNNNNNNNNNNNNNNNNNNNNNNNNNNNNNNNNNNNNNNNNNNNNNNNNNNNNNNNNNNNNNNNNNNNNNNNNNNNNNNNNNNNNNNNNNNNNNNNNNNNNNNNNNNNNNNNNNNNNNNNNNNNNNNNNNNNNNNNNNNNNNNNNNNNNNNNNNNNNNNNNNNNNNNNNNNNNNNNNNNNNNNNNNNNNNNNNNNNNNNNNNNNNNNNNNNNNNNNNNNNNNNNNNNNNNNNNNNNNNNNNNNNNNNNNNNNNNNNNNNNNNNNNNNNNNNNNNNNNNNNNNNNNNNNNNNNNNNNNNNNNNNNNNNNNNNNNNNNNNNNNNNNNNNNNNNNNNNNNNNNNNNNNNNNNNNNNNNNNNNNNNNNNNNNNNNNNNNNNNNNNNNNNNNNNNNNNNNNNNNNNNNNNNNNNNNNNNNNNNNNNNNNNNNNNNNNNNNNNNNNNNNNNNNNNNNNNNNNNNNNNNNNNNNUAAAGUGCUUGCUGGACGAAAUGUGGUGAUUAAUUGAAUUGCAAGGUCAUACAUGCUGUUAAUUUUUUAAGAGCUGAUAAAUGAGUAUGACAUAGUGCUCAUAAAUGUUCUAAGGAUGUCUUUAGAUGAAUGAAAUUGUUUGAUAGUUUGAAGUUAUAAAUCUUUGUAUUGAUUUUUCUCAACAAUCUGAAGCCUGUUAUACUUAGCAAAUUUUUCUAUGAGAAUGGGUGUUUAACAGUUGUGAUUUGGCUUGAAAUAUAUGCGGUUGAGAUGGUUGAUAUAUUAUCAAGCAUGCAAUAUAUAUCACUGUCGUGACAAGUUUUUAUAGGAUAUAUUUGAAAUGGGUACGAAUUUAUAUCCUUGUUACAGGGAAAUAUAUAUUUAGUGUAUUGUAUUGUUUUAUUUAUUUACAUUUUUUUCUUUUUUCUUUCAAACUCUAAAUUAUUUAUUAUUCAUAUUAGUAUUAUUAUCAUUAUUAUUAUAUUUCUACUUAUAUUUAUUUAUUUAAAUUUUAAAUAUAUUUGUCUUAUUAUAUAUUGAUAUUAUUAUUUGCUUAUUUAUAUCUUUUUUAUUUCAAACUUUGUUAUAUAUAUAUACAUAGAUUUUUUUUAUUUUUAUAAUUUUAUUUAUUUUCGUUAUUGUUUGUCUUAUUUGAUAUUUAUUUAUUUAUUUAUGUGUUCAUUAUUAUUUUGAAAAAUGUUUUAGUCCUAUUUGUUUAUUUACUUAUUAUUUCAUGUAUAAUUGAUUUGUCCUUUUUAUUUAUCUUAUUUUUUGUUGUUGUUGCUCGUAUUAUUUAUGCUUACAUCAUCGUAUUCAUUUUUAUUUUGUUACGCAUAUUAACACCGUGUUUCAUUUCUACUAUUUCGCGUUAGAUUAAUUUUAUUCAAUGCAUAAAUUAUGAUUUUUGAAUAAGCAAAAUCUCGUGUUUAGAUUCGAGAAGGUCGUACCCUAACUUAUGGGUUUUCGAUUUUCACAAUAAAUCUAAAUACACGAAUCUUUUCAAACUUAAGUUUUUAAACGAUCUUUGGAAUUAACAAAAGAUCGUGUCCUAACUUACGGGGCAUGAUCCCUUUUCUAAAUCCGAGAUAGUUAAAUAUUUUUUAAAUAAGUAAUUUUUUGGCAUUUAUUCGCGCAGCGGGAAUUCAAGACAUUGUGUCCUAACUUACGGGAUAUAAUUCUCUUUCUCGAUUAACGUGAAAUAUGCCAUUUUCUCAAAAAUUUUCAACAUUUCAAUAAAUUAUUGUAUUUUAAAUCUCUUCAAAAUUUUCAAUUUUCGACACUAAAGACACUAAAUAAUCAACUAGGUACUAAUUUUGGGUGUUACGAGGGUGCUAACCAUUCCUCGUACGUAACCGACUCUCGAACCCGCCUUUCUGAAUUUCGUGGACCAAAAUCGUUGUUUUAAUAAAAUCAAAUUGUUUAUUAAAAGCAACCACUUUUCAAGGUGACCAGAUCACACCUCAUCAAAAAAGAUUGGUGGCGACUCCCGUGUUUGUUUUCAUUUUCAAAAUUAAAGUCGACCCCGUUUUCACAAAAAAAAUAGUUUCGAUGCAUACUUUUAUCGAAGAUCUAAUUCCGUAAGUAUAAAUAGGUUUAUAUAAAUAUUUUCUUAAAUCAAAUUGAUGAUCGAACCGAUUAGACCACCAUUUCAGUCAAUCUGACCGAUUCAACCGGUCCAAUUAAAAAUUGAUUAAAAAUUAAAAAUAAAAUUUUUUAAACUCCGAUUCGAUCAAUUUUUUAACUAGUUCAAUUAUUUCAUACCCAUUCCCAAUCUAAUCGGUUCAAAGUCGCUCUCUGGAUUGAUCUCUUGAUCAAUUCCCAAUCCAAUCGACCAGUCUAGUUCAAACAACACUGGUCUAUACCAACAUCUUACUUAUCUGUUAAUAUAUGAUGAGCGUAUAUUAGUACAUUUUGUUAGUGUUGGUGUAAAAGUAUCUAUAAUGACAAAUUAAAUUUAAUAAAUGAGUAAAAUUUUUGGAAGAAACAAGUUAACAAUUUAUUUUACUUUUGAGAUAUAAAUUAAAAAAUUAAAUAAAAUCAAGUAUAUAUAAAAAUUAAAUUUGAUCUGAGACGAAAAAAAACUCUCUAAUAAGUGUGUUUCAAAGUUUUAAUAUAUUAUCUUAUUUGUUGUUUCGAACUAAUAUUAUUUUGGUUUAAGUGAGUUUUAAAAAAACUCUCUAAUAAGUGUGUUUCAAAGUUUUAACUUGUGUUUUCAAUUACUACAACUUCAAUUGGGAGUUCUAACUUUUCUAAUUUUUUUUUUUUUUUUUUUGCAAUGGUAAGUUUAACAAGAAGCUAAACAUGCCAAUUUUGACUUUGAUCCUAUUUGAUUUCACCAUAAAAGGUUAACAAUUUUAACUUCUUCAACUUAAAUUUCAAUUGGUUUGAAUUUAAAAUAAUUUUGAAAUAAUUUAAUUUUAAAUAAUCUAAAUUUAAAAUGAUUACACCUCGAAAUAAAUAGAACAAGUAACAUAGAAUAACCUAAACUUGAAGUAACCAUAACUCAAAACAAUCUAGACCUAUAAUGACUUAACUAAAAAAUUAAACCUCUCACUGAAAUGACUUAAAGCAAACCAAGCUUGAAAUUGACCCAAACCCGAAACAACUUGAAAAUUUUAAAAUCUUAAUUAACUUGAUUUAAAUUAACCUGAUCCCAAACCAAAUAAAUAUGCACAACUAAAAGGUGAUCUAGAAUGUCGGAAAAGUUAAAUCAUGUAAUCAUCUUUUAAAAUGUUUGACAUAGUUAAGUAAACGACCCUAUGUCGGGCUACAUAACAGGCAAUUGGCUGAAACAUUGGUAAGCUGGAGGAUUAAUUUGAUCAGCUAACUUAAGGCGCUAACUUAUUAAUUUAAUUAAGAGGUUAACUUAUUACAUGAGGUCGCUUCCAUGCCAACCACAACAACUGCAUUUCACCAGUUUUAAACUCCAAUAUCCAUUAGAAGAUGACCUACCAAAUAUCUUUAAUAUUGACCAAGCUUUCUCCUUUCUCAACCAUGUAUGAUCAAAUAUCACCAACUCCAGUGGCCUAUUCCCACUGCUCCAAGACCCUAUAUAAACCCCUUACACCAUGCUUUCUCUUCCUCACUCAAAACUAGCUAUUAAGAUAAAAAGACUUUGUUUCAUCUGCUUAACAGAAAUGGCAUCUUUCAAUUGCUUUGCUUUGGCAUUCUUCGUGGCUUUGUCGUUUUCAAGCAUUGACGUUGGCCUAGCAGCUCGUCACCUUCAGCAACUGCCUCCGAUGCCAACAUUGCCUACAACCACACUCCCACCAUUCCCAUCUAUCCCUAAUCUCCCACAGCCAUCCAUACCAUCUUUCCCAAGGCCCGGGGCACUUCCUCCACUUCCUACCAUGCCUGGGUUGCCCACAUUGCCAAGUGUACCCAGGGCCACACUGCCUCCUCUGCCAAGCAUACCCUCAAUCCCCACAAUCCAACCUACAAUUCCCUCUAUUCCUUUCCUUUCUCCACCACCUUCUCCUUCUACCCCUUAAAAAUCCCUUUUGGCUUAUGGGACCCAGUCCAGAGUCGGGACAUGCUACUACUGUUCUCAUCUCAUUCAUGGUCGAAAGUGGUAGUUACAGACUCGAGUUUUUAAUCAGCAUAUAUAGUUACUUAUUUGUUUACUUUCUCUCUCCGAAGAUCGUACAAGAUUUGAGCCGUCUUUGUAUGUUGAUUUUUGAGAACUAUUGUUUGCUUAUUUUCACCACAUAUAGGAUUUGUUUGUAUAAAUGGGAGUUCCCAUUAUUUGGUGUAUUUUGAUACGUUAUUCUGCUUAUUUAUAAACUUCACAUUGUUAACACACGAAUUUAGCAAAUGAAGAAAAUAAUGAUAAAAUAAAUUAAUUAUGAUACAACACCACAAACCAAUGAGAUCAGAAUUGAAAAUGAUUAUUAAAAAUAUUAAAUUGAAGUAUAUAACAUAUAAUACAUUAAAUAACAAAAUACAAAUACAAGUUAUAUUUAUUUUAAACUAUAAUUAAAAAUUAAAUUUAUAAAAUACACUAUUAUAUUUAAGCUAAAUUAUAUAUUAAAAAUGUUAUAUUAAAUAAUAAUUAAAAUCAUUAUUACAUUAAAAUAAUGAUUAAUUGAGAUAAAUAUUAAAUUUAUACAUGAACUUCGUUUCAAUAUGCAAUUUGAUACAUGAACUUUUAUUUGGUACAAUUAUAUAGAUAAAACUUGUAUUGUCGCUAAUAUGUAUAUAUGAAACUUAGAUUUUGAUUUAAUUGUAUACAUUUAAAUAAUAUUUAUUUUCAUAUUGGAUUAAUAUAAUUAUUUACUUAUGUAAUAUCCAACGUAAAAUGGUGCUAAUUCGAUAAUGUUGUUAGUGAUUUUAGAAAAUUAAACCAAAUCAAAAUUUCAUGUAUAAAAUCGUACAAAAUAAAUCAAAAUUUAUGUAUAGUUUUGAUAUUUAUCUCUAAUAAAUUUGUGGAAUAAAAUAAAAUUUUAAUUAAUAGACUAGGGAUUGAAAAAUUAAAAAAACUCACCAAUGAGCUUGUGUUUUAGUUGGGGUUCAAUUUUGUCUAAAGAUAUCAAUGGACCAAAGGAGCCCUUAUAAUUUGUUGUCUGUAAAAUAAUUAUAACAUAAGACAUUAUGUAAAUUUUUCGCAUGGAACAAGUUAAGGAUUUAUUUUGGUUUUGAGAUUAAAUAAAACCACGUGUGUAUAAAAAUCAAAUUGGAGCUAAGGGCAGUGGAAAAAACCCAAAUUCUAUCAUGUUGAUGUUUCUAAAUAAUGUUUCUUUGUCGAGAUUGAGGGCAUUUUAAGAUAAAAUUCUCCAAUAAGUGUGCUUAUUAAAGUUUUAACCAUUUUUAUCCAUCCUAUCCAAAAUCAACCCAACUCAUUCUAUUUAUAAGUAUACAAGGACGAAUUUAGGGGCUAACCAACCCAAUUCAACUUUUGAUAGAAUUUGCUUUGGGUAAUUUUGAUAAGAAAAAAUAGGAAGAUAAUUAUUUGAAAUUUUAAAUUAUAUAUAACUUAGAAAAAAGAAUAACAUAUAGGGUGAAAUACUUAAAAAUGCCAAAUUUUAAAAAUAAAACUAUUGGAUUAGGUCAGUUUUUUGAAAAAUUACGGAACUAAGCCGAAAUGAUGAAAACUCUUCCAGCUAGAAGCGCUUUUCACAACGUUUACCCCCCAACAGCUUCCCCACCCCAACAGCUAUUUAAAUAGCCGUUGAACCCCCCUGAACUAAUGACUAUUUUUUUCCUAUAUAAACCCCUAAUUCUUUUAUUUUUUCAAUUCAAUCUCAACUCAUCUCUCUCGCAUUCUCAAAUCUCUCUCAAAUUUUCCUCAAUUCCCUCUUAAUUUCUCACUCAUUUUUUAUUCUUCUCUCAACUAUUCUUUUUAUUAAAAUUGUAUUAAUGUUUUUUAAAUUAUUUUUCUAUUACAAAUUAUUUCGUAUUUUUCAAAAUUAGUAACGGAAAAAUCUCUAAUUCGUUUGGAUGACAAGCACAUUUCGGUCGAAUGGUAAAAUUUUUUUAUUUAUAUUAGUCUAAUUUAAUUUAAAUAUUUUCUUGUUAUAUUGAAAUUUAAUAUUUUGUAUGGUUUUUUAUAUAUAGUCGGAAGAUCGAAUUUUGGAGACGUAUAUUUGUAAUCUACCCGCUCCUCCAUACUUGAAAAAUACAAGACUUUUGCACGUGGCUCGUAUGGGUAGGGGGUUUAAAUUGGACCCCACACUUGUAAGUGAGUUGGUGGAAAUGUGGAGACCCGAGAUGCACACAUUCCAUCUUCCAUGCAGCGAGUGCACUAUCACACUUGAGGAUGUGUAGUUACAACCUGAGUUAUCGAUGGAUGGGCCGGUAGUGACUGGGUCAGUUGACACAGCCGAUUGGAGAGAUGAAUGUGAGCAACUCUUGGAGAAGGUUCCGGACAUGAUUUAUGGAGCCUAGAUAGAUGUGAAUUGGUUGAAAAGAAAAUUUUUGUGGGCUCGAUGUGGAAUCGAGUGAAGUCCAAAGAGAAUAACACGCUUGGGCUCCAUAAAUCACAAUAAAUCAUCGGGGGUCUAUUAAUGCCCAAUAAAUCAAGAAAUCUUUUCCAUUUAAGGUGGUUACUCAAACUCGUAGACUUUAGAGAAGUGGGCGAACUCAGUUGGGGAUAGCCAUGUUGGCGACCUUGUAUUGGGAGAUGUGUCAGGCGGCAGAACCAUAGAAAAUUAAAAUUAGUGGUUGCAUGCUACUACUGCAAUCAUGGGUGUGGUAUCGGUUGCCAUUUUUACGUCCUCGAGCGAACUACCCUUAUGCAUGCCCACUCGUAACAAGGUAAAUUUCAUUAGAUAAUAUAUUUAUCAUAAUAAAAUUAUUUAAAAUUUAAAUUAUUGUGUUAGCAUAUUAUUUUAAUAAGUGGAACUAUGGGCCAAGUUAUGUGGGACUACCGGAGGAGCUUUAAGAUAUACGACUUUUGUUAGAUCAACGAUAGGAAGCGGAGGUAUAUAUUUUUUAAAUUUGAAUUAUAUAAUAUUAACAUAGUUGAUUUAAAAAUUAAUAGUAUAAAUACAAUUAAAAAGUUUAUUAUUUUAAUAUAGUUUGAAUGCAUCCCGUUUGAAUUCUUGGUGAGUCCCAACAUCUGGCAUGUGAAGUUGUCAUUGGUAGUGUAUGCUAUGAUGAAGAUGCUUGAAUCAGAUAAAGUUAUGUAACAGUUUGAGUUUAGGCAAACGAUUCUGCUGACACCCUAAGACAUCAAAUAUCUGCACUAUAUCGACUUGUGGGGGAGAAUAGAUGAAAAUUGGUGUAACGCCCCAGAAUUUGGGCCUAGAAGUAUUGGGCCUUGAGCAAGGGAAUGGUUAGGAAACUGUGCACAAAAGUAUGUAUGCUUUAGUGGUUAAGGGUCCUAAGAGAAGUUGGAAAAGUCCUGGGUUCAAACCUGGGCUUUAGCAAAAAUUUUGGUUUUAAGUGAAUAAAACUCUGGAUGCUUGGUUGUAGGCCUUUUAAAUUAUUAUGUUAAAAAUGUCAUAAGGAAGCAUGUGGUCUAGUGGUUGUGGCAUCAUUAAGGUUACAAAGGAGCCUGGGUUCAUGUCUUGGCUUUUACAAUUUAUUUUAUUCUUUUAAAGGAACCUGGACUUUGGCCCUUAGACCUUUUUAUUAAUUAAAGAUAAAAUGUGAGACAAAAUAGCUUGUGGCAAGGAGGCAAGUGGCGUGUUGAGCUAUUGAGGGGGGAUUGGGUUCGAAUCCCAUUGCAAGCAAAAAGGAUAUUUAUUUUGCUAGUAUGAGACAGAAGGAGUUUAAGGUGGUUUCGAACUCUGUAAGGUGAAGUUUGAAUUGGUCUUGGAUGGAAUUGUGGAGAAAAUUAAGAAGGAGAUUGGGGAGAGAAUUAAGGAAUUUCGAAUAUGGGAGGUUGGUAGCAUGUUGUGGCCGAGUGAGAUUCUAAGGCUUUAGUGGAAUGCGACUAGGGGAAAUAGGGAGCAUUUUCGGCACUAGGCAUUUCUUUGUUCGGUUUUGUGGGGUUUUAGAUGAGAGUGCCGAAUUCUCUUUGGGUUUUUACCAUUCGGGGAUUUGUUUCAAGUUUUGCGUUUUAACUAUUGAGGUGACCAACAUUGCUGCUAUUUCCUUCCUUUCUACAUUUGCCGAAUAGGUAACUUUCUUUUUGGUUUCUUUUUCUUUCUUUGCUUUGCUGAAAUCCCUUUCCUCUCUCACUCUUAGUUCUGCUUCUUCUUUUCCUUCUAAAUCCUUCUCCUCUCGGCCUCCCUUCUAAACUGAACCUACUCUCCAUCUUCUUCUUCCUGCUUCCCGCUCUCUUCCAAUCAUAGCCGAUUCUUCAUAAGGAUUUUUUUAUACGUUCAGUUUAUCAUCUUUCCCUAUUGUGUUUGGCCGAAUAUACUUGAACUAUUCUAACCGAUCCCAUCAUCAUCAAUUUUGGGUUCUAAAAUCUCUAAAAGGGAAAUGGACGUUUUCGAUUAUAUGUUGCGUAAUGAGAUAUCAAUGAUGGCGAGUAGUAGCCAUUCUGAGGGAGGAUCAGGAAUGGUACCAGCUGAGAAUGGGCACGUAGCCCCUGCGCCCAAAGUUAAGUAGCAUAAAGUGUAAGCUGUUCGGGAUUUUCCACCGGGUUGCAGCAGGGUGGUUGCACCAAUCUUUGGAUCAAGUGGGCAAUCACAACCGGCUGAUCUAGUCAAGGGAGAGGUAAUCUGUUGGACAAGUAUUUUCGAUAGAGGCUGUUUUGAUAAGUUGAUUGGGAUUCGAUUAACCCGAUUGACAAGUGAUUAAUGGAUUGCCUUGAUUGAUUGUAGGUUGGAAUUCUCGUAGGUCUUUCAAAUUUUUCGCAAUUAGGUGUGUAUCUGUACACCGUAAAUCAUUACUGUCAUAAAACCGAAAGAGUGUGUGUAAUGACACCCUCUCUAAAUUGCAAAGCAGCAAAAGUUAAAAAGUCGUGAGCACGACGUUCGAGACAUCACGAGCGCGCGAGUGCUCGAGUGGUAAGCUUAGCGUGCGAUACGUGGUAAAAUGAUCGAAUUACCCCUGAAGGGUAAAAUGAUCGAGAUACCCUCUUAGGGUAAAAUAACCAAAAUACCCCUGUAAGGUAAAAUGACCGUAAUGCCCCUAAAGGGUAAAUGACUAUUUUGCCCUUCGAGGUUAAAUGAUUGAUUUGUCCGUGAUGAAAAUGAUUGAUUUAUCUGUGAUUUAAAUGACUGCUUUGUUUGUAAAUUGUAUGACUGAUUUUGAGCAUGGCAUUCCGCAUACAAAACAUACUGCAUGGGGUUGGGUUACUGUUAUGGAGGAAGUACUGUACUAGUGGCUCUGUCACGAUCACUGUGACUGGUGGCUUAGCCACACAUUCUGAUUACUGGCAGCUUUGCUACAAUAUUGUUGCUGGCAGCUUUAUUGCGAUACUACUGAUGGCUGUGUGCCGGUCAUAUCACUGCUACUGAUGGCUUUGAUUCGAUCAUAUUAUCGUUACUGAUGGUUGUGUGCCGAUCAUAUCACUGCUACUGAUGGCUUUGGGCUAAUCAUAUUGCUGUAUUUAUGGCUUGUAGCCAUUCUGUUUAUAGCUUAUAGCUAUUCUGCUUACGGCUCUUAGCCAUUCUGAUUACUAGUAGCUUUGCUGCGAUACUGAUUAGUGCUGCUACUGGUGUUGAUAUUGAUGUGAUGGCUGGGUGGGUCGAUUUUAUCCCCACAUGGUGUUUUGGUUGGUACGGGUGGUGUGUUGGCUGGAUUGAGAUGGGUUGCAUUAUUACAUUGUACCGAUAUUGUAUUGGGCUAAAGCCCACAUUGUUACUGUAUUGGGCUAAGACCCACACUAUUAUUGCAUGUUGUAUGCUGACUGUUUGAUAGGGGAUUACACACCGAGUUUUCGCAAACUCACCUUUCUGUCUAAUUAUACAGGUAAUCCUCAACGUUAGACGGUUCAGAGCUGUGAGGGACUCGGAGAGGGCCACACAAUUGCACAUGUUUUAUUCUGUUUUACUCAUUUACUUAAGCAAUUUGAUUUUGAUUCGGGUUGUAAUAAGGCCUCUAUAAUUUUUGGAUUUUAAAUUUGGAAUUUGAUGUGAUUGUGAUUUAUAUCUGCUAGAAGUAGAACACGGUUUUCUAAAAUAAUAACUAUUUUUAACAUUACGUUUCCGCACCUCAAUUUUUAAAUAUCACAUUCUCGUAGAUCAUUUGCUUUAAAUUAAACUUUCUUUAACAAUAAGGUUUUGAAGGUAAUAACUUUUUAAUAAACCUCGAUUGAUAAUAAACAAACACAAACUGAGGUUUUAUACAAGUUUUAAAUGGCAAGAAGUUUGAAAUUUCAAGAAGGGUUUUUAAUGAAAACAUGGUUUUCGAAAAACACUUCAAUGUGACAUGCCAGAUUCAGGCCUAACUUCUAGGUCGGGUGUGGGGUGUUACAUUUAGUGGUAUAAGAGCCUAGUUGUAAAACUCGACUGUGGAAUGCGUUUUCAAAUUUUUAGAUAUUAAAAGGUUAUUUUCGAAUAUGUGAAAUGUUUUAAUAUACUUAUUCUGAAAAGUGUGGCACACCGAGUCUCCGGCGCUGAAUCCGUAAGUUUUCUGAAUACUUUUGUCUAUUUAGAAAUUAAAAUGCGGUAAGUUAGGAAGUACUGUGACUACUUUAGAAAUUAGAUUAUACCACUCUAGAUAGAGCAAGCUGAAACUAUAGGGGACUGGAACUGUAGUGAAACUUCAAUCUGCAUAAAACAGUUAGUGCUGAUUAAACGAGAAUAGACAAUGGGCAUAAGAGAUAUGCGCAAAUGUGGUUCAAGAGGCUGUAGUAAUGUUUUGAGUCAGAGUGCGCAGCGGGAGCGUAGUGGUGAAGUCUGUGUGUGCGACUAUCUUAUUAGUUGGAAAUUUCGAAGACGAAAUUUCUUUAAGGGGAUAGAAUUGUAAUGCCCCAGAAUUUGGGCCUAGAAGUAUUGGGCCUUGAGCAAGGUAACUUUUAGGAAACUGUGCACAAAAGUAUGUCUACUUUAGUGGUUAAGGGUCUUGAGAGGAGUUGGAAAGGUCCUGGGUUCAAACUUGGGCUUUAUCAAAAAUUUUAGUUUUAAGUGAAUAAAACCUUAGAUGUUUGGUUAUAGGCCUUUUAAAUUAUUAUGUUAAAAAUGUCAUAAGGAAGCAUGUGGUCUAGUGGUUGUGGCGCCAUUAAGGUUACAAGAGAGCCUGGGUUCAAGUCUUGGCUCUUGCAAUUUAUUUUGUUCUUUUAAAGGAACCUGGACUUUGGCCAUUAGACCUUUUUUUUUAAUUGAAGAUAAAAUGUAAGACAAAAGAGCUUGUGGCAAGGAGGCAAGUGGCGUGUUGAGCUAUUGAUGGGGGACUGAGUUCGAAUCUCAUUGCAAGCAAAAAGGAUAUUUAUUUUGCUAGUAUGAGGCGGCAGGAGUUUGAGGUGGUUUCGAACUCUGUAAGGUGAAGUUUGAAUUGGUCUUUGAUGGAAUUGUGGAGCAAAUCAAGGAGGAGAUUAGAGAGAGAAUCAAUGGAUUUCGAAUAUGGGAGGCUGGUAGUGUGUUGUGGUCAAGUGAGAUUCUAAGGCUUUAGUGAAAUUCGGCUAGGGUGAAAUAGGGAGCAUUUUCGGCACUAGGCAUUUCUUUGUUUGGUUUUGUGGGGUUUUAGAGGAGCGUGCCGAAUUCUCUUUAGGUUUUUACCAUUCGGGGAUUUCUUUCAAGUUUUGCGUUUUAGCUAUUGAGGUGACCAAAAUUGCUGCUAUUUCCUUCCUUUCUAUAUUUUCCGAAUAGGUAACAUUUUUUUUGGUUUCUUUUUCUUUCUUUGCUUUGCCGAAAUCCCUUUCCUCUCUCACUCUUGGUUCUGCUUCUUCUUUUCCUUCUGAAUCCUUCUCCUCCCAGCCUCUCUUCUAAACUCAACCUACUCUCCAUAUUCUUUGUCUUUGCUUCUCGCUCUCUUCCAAUCAUAGCUGAAUUCUUCAUAAUGAUUUUUGUGUACGUUCAGUUUAUCAUCUUUCCCUAUUGUGUUUGGCCGAAUAUACCUGAACUAUUCUAACCGAUCCCAUCAUCAUCAAUUUUGGGUUCUAAAAUCUCUAGAAUUGAAAUGGACGUAUCCGAUUAUAUGUUGCGUAAAGAGAUAUCAAUGGUGGCGAGUAGUAGCCAUUCUGAGGGAGGAUUAGGAAUGGUGCCAGCUGAGAAUGAGCAUGUGAUAAGUUGAUUGGGAUUCGAUUAACUCGAUUGACAAGUGAUUAAUGGAUUGCCUUGAUUGAUUAUAGGUUGGAAUUCUUGUAGGUCAUUCAUACUUUUUGCAAUCAAGUGUGUAUUUGUAAACCGUAAAUCAUUACUGUCGUAAAGCCAAAAAAGUGUGUAAUCACACCCUCUCUAAAUUGUAAAGCGAAAAAAGUCGAAAAGUCGUGAGCAUGGCGUUCGAGACAUCACGGGCGCGCGAGUGCUCGAGUGGUAAGCUCAAUGUGUGAUAUGUGGUAAAAUGAUCGAGAGACCCUCUUAGGGUAAAAUAACCAAAAUACCGCUGUAAAGUAAAAUGACCUUAAUGCCCCUAAAGGGUAAAUGACUAUUUUACCCCUCGAGGUUAAAUGAUUGAUUUGUCCAUGAUGAAAAUGACUGAUUUGUCUGUGAUUUAAAUGACUAUUUUUCCUAUGAAUUGUAUGACUGAUUUUGAGCAUGACGUUUCGCAUACAUGACAUACUGCAUGGGGUUGGGAUACUGUUAUGGAGGAAGUACUGUACUAGUGGCUCUGCCACGAUCACAGUUACUGGUGGUUUGGCCACACAUUCUAAUUACUGGCAGCUUUGCUGCAAUACUGUUGCUAGCAGCUUUGCUGCGAUACUACUGAUGGCUGUGUGCCGAUCAUAUCACUGUUACUGAUGGCUUUGAUCCGAUCAUAUUAUCGUUACUGAUGGCUGUGUGCCGAUCAUAUCACUCUACUGAUGGCUUUGGGCCAAUCAUAUUGCUAUAUUUAUGGCUUGUAGCCAUUCUGUUUAUAGCUUAUAGCUAUCCUAUUUACGGCUCUUAGCCAAUCUGAUUACUAGCAGCUUUGCUGCGAUACUGAUUAAUGAUUCUACUGGUGUUAAUAUUGGUGUGAUGGCUGGGUGGGUCGAUUUUAUCCCCACAUGGUGUGUUGGUUGGUAUGGGUGGUGUGUUGCUGGAUUGAGAUGGGUUACAUUAUUACACAGUACCAAUACUGUAUUGGGCUAAGGCUUACAUUGUUACCGUAUUAGGCUAAGGCCCACACUGUUGUUGCAUGUUGUAUGCUGACUGUUUGAUUGGGGAUUACACACUGAGUUUUCAGAAUCUCACCCUUCUGUCUAAUUGUAUAGGUAAUCCCUAGCGUUAGACGGUUCGGAGCUACGAGGGACUCGGAGAGGGCCACACAACUGCACAUGUUUUAUUCUUUUUUGCUCAUUUACUUAAGCAAUUUGAUUUUGAUUCGGGUUGUAAUAAGGCAUCUAUAAUUUCUGGAUUUUAAAUUUGGGAUUUGAUAUGAUUGUGAUUCAUAUCUGCUAGAAGUAGAACACAGUUUUCCAAAAUAAUAACUAUUUUCUAACAUUACGUUUCCGCACCUCAAUUUUUAAAUAUCACAUUCUCUUAGAUCAUUUUCUUUAAAUUAAACUUUCUUUAACAAUAAGGUUUUAAAGGUAAUAACUUUUUAAUAAACCUCGAUUGAUAAUAAACAAACACAUACUGAGGUUUUAUACAAGUUUUAAAUGGCAAGAAGUUUGAAAUUUCAAGAAGGGUUUUUAAUGAAAACAUGGUUUUCGAAAAACAAUUCAAUAUGACACGCCAGGUUCAGGCCUAACUUCUAGGCUGGGUGUGGGGUGUUACAAUUGGCCUACAUUUCACGUUGAAUAUUCCAACCUUUGGAACAAUAUAUACGAAUUUUUACCUACUCGUGAGGCAAUUAUCGCUCUGAAGUUAGCUUGCGAUCCGGAGUACAUGCCAUGGUUUAGACACUAUGGCAAGCCAUAUCUACUAGCGGAAGAGGCGAGGGGUAGACAACGUGAGGAGGCCACGACAGGAGCCUAGGUAUCCAAGGCUAGGUGCAGCUUUCGAGGCGGGUCUAUCCCACUACACAUCCACCACUCAGAAACCCAGUUCAGCACAACUCUUGCCAAAAUUAAGAGCAAAAAUACAACCUUUACUGUCCCAAAGAUUCGAACCUAUGGCCUCCCUCACACCAACACUCCACUUAUCCACUAGACCAGCAGGCCCAUUCUGUUAAUUAUUUGCCAACUUUUACUUAAAAGCCUACUGACCAAAGAUAGGGCUUAUUCAUAAAAAAUACCAAAAUUUGCCUUAAGUCUUGGCUUGAACUUGCGGCCUUCCAAACACUCCCAGAACACAUAACCACUAAAGUUGAUAGAUGUUUGUGUCACACAUUCACAAUACUGAAAAUUAAAAUUUUAGGGCGUCACAAUUCUACCCCCUAAAGAUAAUUUCGUCCUCCUGAUCAGAACAGAUGAGGACACUGCUGACACAUUGCAUCCUCAGGCUCCCAUGUGGCCUUUUUAGUGUUAUGCUUACGCCAUAGAACCUUUACCAGUAGAAUGGAUUUCCUUCUCAGAACAUUAACGUUGCGAUCCAAAAUCUAAAUCGACUCUUCCUCAAAGGUCAAAUCUGGCCUAACCUUGAUCUCUUCAAUAGGGACAAUAUGAGUAGGAUCAGAGUGGUAGCGCCUCAAAUUGUCCUCCAGUAUCUGAAUCACCCUCUCAGACUGACCAUCGAUCUGAGGAUGGAAUGUAGUACUGAAGUCCACCCUUGAACCUAGAGCCUCAGGUAACUUCCUCCAAAACCAGGACGCGAAACAAGGAUCCCUAUCAGAGGUGAUCGAAAUCUGUACUUUAUGCAGUCUCAUUAUCUAAAAAAUAUAAAGUUUCGCCAGCUUGUGCAGAGAAUUAUCAGUACGAACCGAUAUAGAGUGGGCAGAAUUAGUCAAUCGAUCCACGAUGACCCAUAUUAAAUCCUUCUUAGUGGGUGUUAGAGGCAACCCAUUAACGAAAUCCAUAGUUACGCACUCCCAUUUCCAAAGAAGAAUCUUAACCAGUUGCAGCAAACCCGAAGGUAAUUGAUGCUCAGCCUUAACCUGUUGGCAAGUCAAACAUUUACCCACAAAAUCAGUAACCUCACAUUUCAACCUUGGCCACCAAUAUAACUCACGAAGGUCUCGGUACAUCUUAUUUCCGCCAGGAUGCAUAGCAUAAAGGCUACUAUACGCCUCUCUCAGUAUGGCUUGUCUCAAAUCAGUAUCAUUUGAAACACAGAUUCUCCCACGAAAAUAGAGUACCUCAUCACUGUUUAGUCCAAAAUUUGUAGUACAACUACCCUCAAUCUGUCGGAAUCGAAGACCGAAUGACUCAUCCUCCAACUACUUACCCUUAAUCUGAUCAAUCCAAAACGACUUAACUUGAAGCUCGGCUAAUAAACUACCAUUCAUCAAAUAAACUUAGGCAAGCAAAUAUUGCCCUCAAAUUAGUCAUAGCCUUACGGCUCAGUGCGUCAAACACCACAUUGGCCUUACCAAGGUGGUACUCAAUGGUGCAGAAUAGGAGCAUCAGUCAGUACAGUCUAAAACUUCUUAAAGCUCUCUUACUGUGCAUCAGUCCAGUUAAACGGCACACCCUUACGUAGCAGCUUAGUCAAGGGUGCUACAAUCAAUGAAAAACCCUCUACAAAUCAUCGAUAAUAUCCCACUAGCCCUAGAAAACCGCGGAUCAGACACGUUCCUAGGCUACUUUCACUCCAACACAGCCUCAAUCUUUCGAAGAUCAACUUGAAUCCCCUCAGUUGAAACUACAUGACCAAGAAAUGUCUCAUUACGCAGCCAGAACUCGCACUUACUAAACUUAGCAUAGAGCUGUUUUUCCUUCAAAAUCUGAAGAACGACUUGAAGGUGCUCAUCAUGCUCAUCCUCAGUCCUCGAGUAAACCAUUAUGUCGUCGAUGAAUACCACCACAAACUGAUCCAAAUAAGGCUGGAACACUCGAUUCAUUAAAUCUAUGAAAGUUACCGGUGCAUUAGCCAAUUCGAAUGGCAUCACUAGGAACUCGUAGUGACCAUAACAAGUCCUAAACACCGUCUGACGAACAUCACCCUCCUUAACCCUUAAUUGAUGAUAUUCAGAUCGAAGGUCAAUCAUAGAGAAAAUCGAAGCUCCUCAGAACUGGUCAAACAGAUCAUCUAUCCUCGGUAGGGGGUAAUUAUUCUUAAUGGUUAAUUUAUUCAGCUGCCUGUAGUCGAUGCACAUACGCUUGGGUCCAUUCUUUUUCUUUACAAACAGAACCGGUGCUCCCCACGGAGACACAUUAGGGCAGAUGAACCCACGAUCUAAAAGCUCUUGAAUCUGAGCCUUAAGCUCCACAAGCUUAUUCAGUGCCAUUCUAUAGGGAGCGAUGGACACUGGAGUUAUACCAGGAAAGAGCUCUAUCUCAAACUCCACUUCACGAUUCGAAGGUAAACUCGAUAGCUCAUCCGGAAAGAUAUCUGGAAUAUCAUUUACCGUUCUGAUAUCCUUAACUGUAGAGUCCCUAAAAUCUGAAACACUUACAUAGGCCAAGAAUGCCUCACAUCCCUUAUGAACCAACUUCUCCGUCACCAGUGCAGAGAUCAAAUUAGAUAAGUAGUUCCGACGUUCUCUGAUCAUGACUACCUCCAUAUCCUCCUCAGUGAUUUUUACCUUCUCGACCAGGGCAGAAAGAUCUCGCUCCCUCUGCGGGGCUAUCAGAACUUUCAAAUUAUCUCUGAAUUCAUCAUCAAAAUGGACACAUCGCUCAUACUUAGAUGCUACCAUACCUCGCGUAUAGUGGCUCAGUCUCAAAAACUCGGCCUCGUACUCAGCCACUGAUCGAUCCCCCUGUGUAAGAUUCAGAAACUCCCUCCUACGUGCAUUCACAUAACUAGCUUCUACAUAUUUCCCCUGGAAUGCGGUCUUAAAGAACUCCUAGGUUAGACGCUCGGGCUAAGUGCUCUCAUUAACAGUCACCCACCACUAAUAAGCCUCGUUCCGCAGCAGCGAGAUUGCACCUUUUAAUUUCUGCUUAGGGGUACAAUCUAGAUCAUCCAUUAUCCUCUCUGUUGCCUCAAUCUAGUACUCGGCCACACUUGGGGAGACCCUAGUGACACCCCUAAAAAGCUCAGCUCUAUUGCAUCGGAGUCGUUCUGUAACCGACCAUCGACUCCUAAAUCCAGUAUUGGGCCCAGUGACCCUCUCCAAAAUCCUUAGCAUAGCUUAGGACAAUGCAUCAUCCCCAGCCAUGCGAUCUUGAGACCCAGUCUCAGUAGCAGGUGACACUGGCGUCUCACUCGUAUCCAAAUUUGACAGAUUGCCAGAUGACGAAGACCUAGCUCGAGCAGCUCUAUGGCCUCUACCACGGCCUCUUGUACCCCGUCCGCGAGUACCUCUGGUGCUCAUUAUCUAAUUGCAUUUUAUUGGUAUUAACAGUUUUAUGCAUCAGUUUACAGUUCCAGUGUUUAUUAACAGAUAUUUUAUAAAAAAAUAUCAAAAGUGUAAAGUUUGUUUCAGACAUCGUAGUGUCAAUCAAUGUCUAUCAAUUUUACUACAGUCUCAGUAUAUACUAUUUUAAGUGUUUUCAAUAUAGUCUAUCUAUAAUAGUCUCAGUAUAUACUAUCUAUAGCAGUUUCAGGAUAUACUAUCAAUGAUAGUUUUAGUUUCAGUUUAAACAAUUCACAGUAUCAAAAAACUUACUGGAUCGGCACCGGAGACUCGGUGUACCAUAUUUUCAGUAAACAUAUUUAGAAAUCAGUUCUCAGAAAUAAUGUCUUAAAAACCCAUAUCCACAAUCGAGUUUUACAACCUGGCUCUGAUACCACUAAAUAUAAUACCCCAAACCUGGCCUAGACGUUAUGGCCGAAUUUGACGACGUUACAUGGUAGUGCUUUUCGAAAAAUAUGUCGUCGCUAAAUCCUCUAUUCUAUUUAACCAUUUUUUAUUAUCUUAUGUUAACUUCAAAUCGUGUCGUUCGUUUUCAAAAUAUUAUUCAUUUACAAAUCAUUAUUCAAUUUCAAAAAGUUUUUUUAUUUUUAUUGCGGAAGCUUUUAAACAGUUUGCUUAUUCGUGGUAUUUUUGAUAAAACAUUAAUUUCAAUUGAAAACACGAGUUUUACCUAACACUAGCAGAUUUAAAUCAUAAAACUGUAAAAAAUCUAAAUUUUAAACCAAAAUUCGUAAAGGCCAUAAUUACAGCAAAAUACUCCCAAAUAAAAGUAAAAUCAUAAAUAGGUAGUAAACAGUGUAAAAGAAGUUGUGUGGCCACCAUUGAGUCCUUUGCUGCACCGAUCUGCCUAUAUCUAGGGAUUACCUGUACAGAUUAAAUAAAAGGGGUGAGUUUACGUAAACUCAGUGUGUAAUCCCCAUACAAAUGAAUAGUUAGUAAACAAAUAAUCACAAAAAUAAUAUCAGUCCAGUUUGGGCCUUAGCCUAUCUUAGUACAAAAACAAUCAUACAGUAGGGCUUUAGCCCAUCACAGUAUCAGUAGUAGUAACAGAUAUGCAGUCACAAAAAUCCUACCCAUCCAGCCUCUACACACCAUCUCCGUCCAACCCUACACUCCAUGUGGGGAUAUAAUCGACCCACCAAUCCCUACACUCCAAGUAGUACCGAAUGCGGAACUAGACAAUAGUUUGUAGUUGAGCUACCAGUAAAUUAGGCUCAAGACCUUUCAGUACACUUCCUCCGAACAUUAUAAUCCCCCAACCCAAUGUAAUGCAAUAUACAAAUAUGACAUGCUAUAACAUAAUAUCAUGCAUGUAAACAGGGCAUACAAUAUCAAUCAGUGUGACAUAAUCAGGCUUAAUCAUAUCAGUCAUACAGUCAUUUCAAUCAAUUAGGGGUCUAGGUUAACUUAUCGACCCUAUAAUAAGUUCACAGUAGGGGUGAGUAAAACUCAAUUCGACUCAAAAAAAUCGAAAAAAAUUCAAAUUUCGAGUUAAACGAAUCGAUUUAUUCGAAUAAACUCAAUUUUUUUUUCAAAUUUCGAGUUCAAAUCGAGUUGAGUUUUCGAAUUCGAAUAACUCGAUUAAUUCGAAUAUCAAACUAUAAUAUUUUACAUUUUUACCCCAAACUCUCAAACCUUUUUACUUUUCCCUCAAAAACUUUUACUCCUUCCCACUUUCCCCCCAAAACUUUUAUUCCCCUCCCCUCCCAACCCCCUAAUCUACCUAAAAUUCAUUUCCCACCAAAAUUUUACUCUCCCAUUUACUUUUUCUCAAAAUUUUACUCCCAAAAACCCUCAAAACCUUUUAUUUCCCCCCAAAAUUUUUACUCCCUCCCACUUUUCCCCUAAAACUUUUAUUCCCUUCCCAUCCCACCUUUCAUCUACCCCAAACCCCCUCCAUUUUUUUAAUAUUUUCCCUCCAAAAUUUUACUCCCCCCUAUUUACUUUCCCUCAAACUUUUAUUCCCCAAAACUUAUUAUUUCCCCCCUAAACUUUUACUUCUCACCCUUUACUCUCAAAUAAAAAAUAAAAAUUAUCCAAAACAAAUCACUAAACAUAAAUAUUAAUAAUUUUAUUUAUAUCUACUAUUUAUAUUAUUAAAUUAAAUUUCACAUUUUAUAUUAUUUAUAUUAUUGAAUUGUUUAGUCAUGUUGAAUAUUUAUAUUAAAAUUGAAUUAUUAAUUAUGCUAUAAAAUAUUCGUGUUAAAAUUUUAUAUUGGUAUCAAUUUCACAUUUUAUUUUUAAAAUAAUUUUGAUUAAAAAUCAUAUUUUUACAUUUAAUAUUUUUUUAAUUCCAAAAUAUAUAGUGACAAGAAUCUGAAGAUAAUUGAAACAACUAAACAAGCAAAGAAGCUAACCAAUAUAUAAAAAAUUAAUAAAUAAAUUAUGAGGUGAAGAAAGUUAAUAAAAAAUUUGAUUAAGGCGGACAAAUUUUAUUACGAUGGGUGACAGUGGUUACAAGGACCCAAAAUUAUUUUUUAAAAUUUAACUCGAAUAAAUAUAUUCGAUUCGAUUCAAUUUGAAUUCCAUCUCACUCCACUCGAUUCGAGAAAACUUCAAAUAAAGUUAGGAUGAUAAAAUGAGAUUCGAAAACUCGAUUAACUCGAAAAUUUUCGAUUCGAUCGAAUGCUCACCCCUAGUUCAUAGUCGACUUGGGCGACUCGUGCAACGUUAUCAGUCAAACAGUGAAAAUGAGCCUACAAGCCCAUGAUGUUCGCCCGUGUAGGCCUACAUGCCCAUGUGGCCCACAUGGCCCAAAUUGGCCUUGGCCACGUGAUCCAUUUUAAUGUAACCCGUGUUAGAUAAUUAUUCAAAUGUGUUUCCACUAUUUACUUAUAUGAUCCUUCAAAGUUAUUUAAUUGAGUCACUGUUACUAAAUUAUUUUUAUCUUAAGCUACAAAAUUCUGAAUUAAGAUCCGUAAAUUUUUCCUGAAACCAGACUCACAUAUCUUCUUACAUAAAUUUUCAGAAUUAUUGGUUUAACCAAUAAGUACAGUUUAUUCUUUAAAGUUCCCCUAUUCUGCUAUCUGACAGUUUCGACCUUUUUGCAAUAAAAAUUAAUUAUCUUCUCGUACAGAAUUUGGAUGAUGUUCUUGUUUGUUUCUUUUGAAAGUAGACUCAUUAUAGGUUUUAAAAUAUAAAUUCUAACCUAUAAUUAUUUUUAUACAAUUUUUAAUAAUUUUCCAAAGUUAGAAUAGGGGAUUCCGAAAUCAUUCUGACUCUAUCUCACUAAAAUUCAAAUAUCUCAUAAUAUGAAAUUCUUUUGCUUACUUAGUUUCUUCUAUGAGAAACUAGACUAAAAUAUAUUUAAUCCCAUAUUUUUUCAUUCUUUAAUUUGAUUUGCACAAUUUAUGGUGAUUUUUAAAAAACAGUAAGCAAUUUCGGCUUUUCGCCGAAUCCCUUAUUUUUGUGUUUCGAGUACACAGUUGGUUUUGUUUGAUGCUAAAAUAGUCCCCGAGCACUCCAAAACCUAUAAUUAAGAAAAUAACACCAUAAUCAGUCUUACCUCGCGAUUAAUCAAAAUCCUGAAACCAAAAUACUUAUUCAUAAAAUGAUGAGCACUUAUCGCAAAAACUUUAAAUCGGUACGUUUACGAAAAUCACGAGGAGAGCCUUAAUCCUCAUGAAAUGCUGCUGCCAACACCCUGGAAUUAGACUAUUGAACACAAAAUAAUCUCUUAACAUGAUACCUAACAACUUACUGAACUUACUGAAUUUGCACAAGUGCUGCUUAACACAAAAUAAUCUCUUAACAAGGGAAUUUCGACAAAAGAAAAGAUAAUCGAGUAAGAAGCAAAGAAGAAAAAAAAGUUUGGUAGAGAUGGGAAAGAGAAAACGUUAGAAAGAUGGAGAGCAAAACAACUCUUUUUUUUUCGAAAAUGGAAAAAGUGAUCAGAUUUUGGAUAUUCUCCCCCAUAAUCCCCUAAUUCACUUCUAAAAUUGCUCCCUCACUUCCCACUACACAUCCACCACUCAGAAACCCAGUUCAACACAACUUUUGCCGAAAUAAGGAGCAAAAAUAUAACUUUUGCCGUCCCAAAGAUUCAAACCCAUGAUCUCCCUCACACCAACAUUCCACUUAUCCACCAGACCAGCAGGUCCAUUCUGUUAAGUAUUUGCCAAAUUUUACUUAAAAACCUACUGACCAAAGAUAGGGCUUAUUCAUAAAAAUACCAAAAUUUUCCCAAGUCCUGGCUUGAACUUGAGACCUCCCAAACACUUCAAGAACAUAUAACCACUAAAGCUGACAGAUGUUUGUGUCACACAUUCACAAUACCCAAAAUUAAAAUUUUAGGGCGUUACACACCACCCUCAAUCAAUAUGGUUUGAUUUAUUCUGGUGCUUUACUAACCCCGUCAUUUUUACACAAGCACCACAUCUUACACAACAUUUAUCUAUUUCUACAUCGAUGCCAGGUUUUAUUUUUGGACCACCACUUCCAUCUUCGGCAUAUUACACACCAAUGAAAUCGAUGUUUCAAACGACGACGAUUUCGAAGAUGGCAUAUAGGCCAUUUAUGUUUGGGGCACCAACCGAAAGUCUGAUUGUUCUAUCAUCAGUGUAUGGGACACAAUAUAGUUUUAUACAUACGUCGAUGGUGUCACAAACACCCAUCUUUGCAACCACUUAUUCCUAGAGCGGAGGAUAUACGAUGGCAAUUGAUGAGCACUCCAUAAUCAAUCAUGAAUGAAGGCAAAGAAGAUGAGAGGCCGAGAUUACAACCUAUACGCCAGUGUAGAUAUAAUGAGGAAGACGAAAAGGCCGGUAUACAGCUUGAAUUGUAACAUCCCAAAAACCAGUUUAGAAGAAAUUGCGUUUUGAAACCAAAAGAGGUCAUCCCUCGAUUUGAGUUUAGACUUUGGAAAUUCUUAACAAGUAAAUUGNNNNNNNNNNNNNNNNNNNNNNNNNNNNNNNNNNNNNNNNNNNNNNNNNNNNNNNNNNNNNNNNNNNNNNNNNNNNNNNNNNNNNNNNNNNNNNNNNNNNCUACAAAAUGCUAACACUAACCCUACUUUAACAAAAAACAAAACCCUUGCCCUAAAAAAACCCUAAACCCAGAAGGAAAACGCCUUUAGUUGGAAGCGUUUUCAAUGGAUGUGACAUAAAGUGUGUCUAGUUGAAAGCGUUUUUUUUGCAAAUCCGCUGAAAAUAUUUUCAGUAGGAAGCAUUCUUUUUUUUAGUCUAAUCACGUAAUUUUUCCAAAAAUCAGCCUAAUUUAGUAAAUUUUUAAAAAAAUCGGCAUUUUUGAGAAAUUUACUCUACCAUAUAUGUAUAUAAUUGAUUAGGGGACAUAGUAGGAAAGGUCUAUAAGGAAAUGUGUAGAUUACAUAGUUUCUUUAUAUAAUCAGCUUCGAAAGUACUAUUGUUGUGCAUGUUAGGGAAACUUUGUUAACAUGGAGGUUUAUCGAAGUAUACUACUUCACAUAUUAUUAAUCUAUAAUAUAUAUAAAAGUACGAGUUUGAAAUUUAUUUUUAAUUGAUGAGAAUAUUUUUUAUUUUCUAUCAUAUUAUUAAAUUCACAAUUAAAAAUAAUUAUAAUAUUUAAAUUAGUAUUAUUACUUACAAAAGUUGAAAUGAAAUAGAAAUGAUACAUUUAAAAAUAAUUAUAAUUUAAUAAAAGUUGUGACAAUUACACAUUUAAAUAUAAUUAGUCGUGCUACGUUUAAAAUAUAGGGGAAAAUGUGAUAAAUAUAAAUAUAAUUUACUAUUAUUAAUUAAAAUAAAAUAAUUAUUUAAAUAGAAUUUUAAACAUAGUAAUUAUCACUUCACUGUUUGAUGAAUAUUUCGUAAUGGAUACGUUCUAACCGUAAGGUUUUUAAUUGUUGGGUUAGAAUGAGUUUAUGUGAUAAUGUUCUUUCCGUAAGAUUUUUAAUUGUUGGGUUAGAAUGAGUUUAUGUGAUAAUGUGGUGAAUGUAGUUUUGGGAGUUCGAUAACAAAAUCAUUCUACCAGCCUCUAACUUUACUGCCUUUAACCAGUUUUUCUCAAGAUUCAUAUCAGCGGAGGAAAGAACUGGUGUUACUUUUGAGGAUUUCGCUGGCCAAGAAUUUUUUAAGAGAGAAUAACAAGAGAUUGUACGAAUUUAAAAAAAUGAUGAGGAGUUCCAAAAUCAACAUUUUUUAUAGUUGGGACCCAAAUAUAUAUCCCAUAUAAGUAAUAACGUAUCAAAGUACAACAAAUUUCAAGCACAAGAAAUAAUGGGAUUUGGGAAACUCCCAUUUAUACAAACAAAUAUAUGUGGUGAAAAAAAGAACAUACAAUACUCAAAAUCAAGAGACUACUGAAAACACAUUAAAACAAAUCCAGUAUGCAGCAGAUAAACAAAAGGGUAUUUCAAGGAGUAGAAGGAGAAGGUGGUGGAGAAAGGAAAGGAAUAGAGGGGAUUGCAGUUGGGAUUGUGGGCAUGCUUGGCAGAGGAGGCAGUGUGGCCCUUGGUACACUUGGCAAUGUGGGCAACCCAGGCAUGGUAGGAAGUGGUGGAAGCGCCCCAGGCCUUGGCAAUACCGGUAUGGAUGGCUGUGGGAGAUUAGGAUAGAUGCCAGUGGGGGGAGUGUGGUGUAGGCAAAGUUGGCAUUGGAGGCAAUUGAGGCAGCUGCAGAAGGUGACGAGCAGCUAUCCCAACAUCAAUGCUUGCAAAAUGACAAAAGCCAUCACGAAUGCUAAAGCAAAGCAACUGAAAGAUGCCAUUUUUCUAGAGAUGUGAGUCCAAUUAAGCAGACGAAAGAAAGCUCUUGUUUUGAUAGUUGUGGAGUGAGGUAGAGAAAGCAUGGUGGUGGGGUUUAUAUAGGUCUUGGAUCAGUGGAGUUGGUAAUGUUUGAUCAUGUAUGGUUGGAAUGGAGAAAACAUAGUCAAUAUUAAAGGAUUUGGUAGGUCAACUUCCCAUGGGUAUUGGAGUUUAAAACGGGUGGAAUGCUGUUGUGGUUGGCAUAGAAGCUUCAUCCAGCCACUUAAUUAAACAGUAUACUUAAACAAUCCUCCAGGUUAGCAAAGUUUUCGCUAGUUGGCCAGAUAUCUAACAGAAUUAGGAUUUGUUUACUUAACAUGUCAGGUAUGAUACUCGUAUUUCGAAGUUGAUUAUAUAAAUAAAUUUGCCAUGGUUGAGCUUAAAAUUGUUGGGUGUUAAUAUACACAUUUGUAAAGACUUAUUAAUUUUUACUUGGAAUUGAAAUGAUUUAAACAAGAAUUUUGAAAUGACAAACAAAAUAAUUUGAAAUGACUUAAAUUUGAAGUGAUCGAGAUCUGAAAUAAUCAAAACCUAUAAUGACUAAAUCAACAUAAAAUUUCAUAUGACUGUCCUUAAAGAUAUUCACAUAUUUACGUAUCUCUCAGUAUUUAACUUGUAUCACAAGCAAUGAAAAAAUUGGGAAAAUUUACCCAUUUGAACGGAAUUUAGCUUAUUAGGCUGAAGCCUCGUGCUAUGCAUACAUAUUCUCUUAUUUUGAGUCUUACAAGUUUACAACAAACUAAAUCUAUAUAAACAUUAUUUAAUAGGUGUAUCUAAAGGAUAUGGAAUAUGUGUAAUUCUUUAAAAUACACAAAAACUUCCAAUAGGGUUUAGCUUAUUUUUGGAUUUGUCUUAUUUUACGUUCAAAUCAUUCAAAUUCGAGGCUAAGUUUUUUAUGUCUAAUCAUUUUUGAUUCAAAUUAUUUUAAGUUUUGGUUAUUUCAAGUUCGAAUUGUUUUGUGAUCAAAUCAUUUUAAGUUUAGAUUGAUUCAGGUAAAUUUAAAUUUGGAUUCUUUUAUAAUAAAUUGAGUUUGAGUUAAAGGCGAUAAUACGACGAUGUUGAUUUCUUUUAUCACCUCAAGUCUAAUUAUAUAUUGGAUUUAAUUUUUGGUAUAAAUUUUAAAAUUGUAUAUAAAUUUCAAUUUAAUUUGUAAUUGUAUGUAUGAAUUUUAAUAUAUACUUGAAUCUCUAAUUGUGGUUAAAAUGUAUACUUAAAACUUUAAUUUUGAUUUAAUUAUACACAUUUAAAGAAAAAGAUACUUCAAUUUAUUUUUAUAUUGGAUAAAUAUAAUUAUUUAUUUAUACAAUAUAUAAAUAUAAAAUAAUGUUAUAUCAAUAAUUGUGUUAAUAAUUUACAAGAACUGAAUCAAAUUAAAAUAUAAAAUUAUAAAAAAUCAAAAUUCAUGUAUAUAAUUACACAUUAUAUCAUAAUUUUAAUAUUUAUCUCUUAAUUUUUUAAUCCAAACCCAAAAAAUAAAAUAUUCCAUCCCAAAAUUUUACAUAAUUUUUUUUAUGUCAUAUUAAAUACAUGUAAAGUCGGUCAAUAAAUUACACCUAGUGACAAAGUAUUAUUCAAAUAUAAUUUCAUUGCUAAAACCUAUUUCUAUUUUUCUUCUAGUGUCUUCAACUUUAAAUAUAAACAUAGGUAUUGAAAUUUUAAGAUUUUUAUGUUAUUUGAUCUUCUCCUUUUUUUUUAAAUAAUUAAUGUUUAAUACAGGGUAAUCAGUACCGUAUUAGUAGAUGCAUAAUUUUUUUUAUUGAAAUUGAUACGUAUUAUUUUAGAUUUAUCAAUAUUUUUAAAAAAUACUCAAUAUAUAUAAAUAUAUUACAAAUAUCAAAUGAAUGAAACUAAAUAAAUUUUAAGUAUAAAAUAUUCAUUAGUUAUAUAAAUUACUCAUUAAUAAACUCAACACAUAAAAAUUUAUCAUUCAAAUAAAUUCAAAAUUAAUAAUAAUAAUCCAUCAUUGGAUAUGAAAUUUUAAGGAUUAGCUCGUUCUCUUGAUAAAAGAAGCUGAAAAGUGAACAAAUAUUUUUUUUUGAUAAUCGGGUGAAUGAUUUUUAAUUAAGCAUAUUUUAGUUUUUAUAUAUUUUUUUUGAACUAAAAUUUCAGAUUGGGCUUUAUUUAAAUAACCUGCAUUACUACACAUAUAGUCUUAAAAAGAAAAGAGAAAGAGCCCAGUUAUCAGACUUGGCCCAACAUAAAGAAAACUAAGACAAAAUUAAAUGGAAACCUAAUCGUUUAGAAACCAAAAAAAGGAAACAAAAGUCUGAAGCAAUUAAUGCUGCCGUUCUACCUGCCCAAUCAGCCUCACAGGAAAAUAAAUGUAUUGUCUUUUCAUCUUUCUUUACUUCUUCAAGACGUUUUCAAUUUACCCAAGGGCUUGCUUUAGUCACUCUGUUACCUACCCUUCUCAGACUCCCCUCCCUCCAUUUCUCCCCUUUCCUAUUUCAAUCUGGUUCUCUCACCCUUUCAUUUUUCGCUUGUCUUUCUGCAACUUCAGGGACUCUUCUGACCAGGUAAUCUUCUUUAUUACUCUUCAAUGCUUCAGUUGCUAAGAUAUGCGCGAGACUAUUUGCUAAUCUUGGGACAUGCUCAAACCUACAAUCAUUAACAUUUAACAGUAGCUGAUGAAUGUUAUGAAUAUACGCACUAACCAUUGAUUUGUCUGGGCUUUUUGCUUUGCAUUUCCUUAUUAUUGAUAAAGAAUCUCCUUCAAUAAUAACUUUUUCCCACUGCAUGUAAACGCCGAUCUGGAGUGCUUUUCGACAUACGAGUGCCUCCGCCGCAAAGGCUGAUGAAACCCGUUGGCAGACCUCCGAGCAUGAUAGGAGAACUGUACCCUCUCUGUCGCUGGCCACUAUUCCAACAUCCGCUUUAUUUUGUUUACCUUCAUAUGCUGCGUAGAAAUUGAUCUUAACAACCUGGUCAGAUGGCUUUUUCCAUUUUUUAACAGGUAUGGAAGUUAGUGGUCUAUUUUUACCAAUCCCAUUUAACUCUAUUAUGUAGCUAUGAACAAAUCUCCCUAUUUCUUUCCCAGAUUUACUCCAUUUUUUUUUCACUCUAUUAUUCCUGUCUCCCCAGAUAGCCCAUAAUGCAACGCAAAAGAUCCGACACUGGGAUGCCGAGCUUUAUGAAAAAACCCAGGUUAGCCACUGUAGAAACCCCAACUGGUUAUCUUGCAAAUACUUAUGAAAUAAUAACUCUCUCCAUACUUAUGUUGAAACAUGACAUUUACGGAAGAGAUGGUCCAUAGUUUCUGUUCCUGAGCCACAUCGGGGACAUACUGAUGUGUUUGUUAGCCUUCUAAGUAGCAUAUUAACAUGUGUAGCUAGGAAAUUCCAUGAUAUCUUCCAAGUUGUAAUUUUUAUCUUUGAAGGAAGAUCUAGUAGCCAUAGUUUUCUGUAAAAGUCCUUAUAGUCGGUUUGUAAAGCAUAAGCUCUAAGAUCAUCUUCAGUACUUUGUAAUAGUUUAUAGGCGCUACGUACUGUGUACUCACCCAACACUUCAGUACUCCAGACUUGGAAAUCUUAGUGUGGUCUUUCUGCCAGCGGGAUACUGAGGAUCAUCUCGACAACAUCUUCUGGAAAGGUAUAUGCUAUGAACUCCUUUUUCCAUGUUCUACUACUUGAAUCAAUUAACGCCGCAACUUUAAAAUCAUUCAAACCUGUUAAUCUGCCAUGUGGUAAAAGUGGAAUCCAAUAAUCACGGGUUAUCGAAAUAUUCGUACCUCUACCCACCUUCGAACACAAUCCCUCUGCUAAAAUACCCUUAGUAGCCCAAAUACUUUUCCAUGUGUACGAAACAUUAUUCCCCAACUGUGAAUUUAAAAAAUUGACUUUUGGAAAAUAUUUUGCUUUUAAGACUUGUGCUACUAAAGAGUUUGGAUUGUUCAAAAUUCGCCACCUCUGUUUAGCUAAAAGUGAGAUAUUGAAUUGAGCCAUAUUUCUAAAGCCCAACCCACCAUCUUCUUUAGGACGACAUAAGUACUUCCAUUAACGCCAAUGAAUACCUUUUCUUCCAUGCGCUUUCUGCCACCAGAAUUUAGCAAAUAUAUUUUCAAAUUCUCCACAUUUAAUAAGAAGCACGACAUUGCAUAGGAUGGAAUGGUCUGUAGCACCGAUUUAAUAAAGACUUCUUUACCUCCUUGAGAUAACAUUCUGGUACUCCACCCAUCAAUCCUAGUAGAAAUCUUUUCUUUUAACUGCUGAAAGGAUUUUUUCUUACGUCGACCAACCACAUUCGGAAGCCCUAAAUAUCGUUCUAAGUUUGUUGAGAUCCUUACCCCCUAUAUUGCCGAAACUUCUUCCUUCUUUUCUUCAUACGUAUUUGUGCUAAAAAAUAUGGUGGAUUUAUUGAAAUUAACACAUUGCCUAGAACACCUUUCAUAUUCCUUCAAAAUUUCUUUUAGUACCCUAGCACCCCUAUCUAAUGCUUCCCCGAACAAAAUACAGUCAUCUGCAAAAAGUAAGUGUGAAAUUUCUGGUCCUUUUUUGCUGGCUUUUGCACCUUUUAUUAAUCCUUCUCCUGAAGCCAUUCUCAUCAAAGAUGAUAAUCCCUCACUACAUAUCAGAAAUAGAAAAGGGCCUAGCGGGUCUCCUUGGCGUAGGCCUCUAGACGGUGAAAAGAUUCUUCCACUUCUUCCAUUUAUAUUAACUGCAUAGGACGUUGUGGAAACAUAAUUCAUAACCAGCUUCACCCAAUCGGAUGUGAAACCCAUUCGUAAAAUCACUUCCUUCAAGUAUCCCCACUCAACCCUGUCAUAGGCUUUGCUCAUAUCAAGCUUUACUGCCAUAUAUCAUUUUUUUCCUAUGCGCUUCUGUCGAAAAGUAUGCAAGAUCUCAUAAGCUAGCAGCACAUUGUCAGUUAUUAGCCUUCCCGGAACAAACGCACUUUGAGCCGCAUUAAUACAUCUUCCAAUAACUGCUUGCAUUCGGUUUACAAUUAUUUUUGCAACCAUUUUAUAAAUGACUGAACAUAAAUUGAUGGGUCUAAAAUUAGCAAUGCUUAUGAGAUUUGUGGUUUUUGGGAUCAGCACAAUGUUCGUGUGAUUUAAAUUACCUAAACUUGAGCCUUUAUUUUAAAUAUCCAAACAGAGAUUUGUUGUUUCCUUACCUACAAUAUGCCAAAAUUUUUAAAAGAAAAUGGUUGGAAAACCAUCAUGUCCUGGUGCUUUUGUAGGUCCCAUUCCCUUCAAUGCCGCAAACACUUCUUCUGCUAUAAAAGUUAUCAUUAGUCUCUAUUGAUAUCUAUCGAAAUAUUUUCCUUUAUUCCCGUUAAGAGAUAGGAACAAUCCCCGGCUCCUUUUGACGUGAAGAGCUUCUGAAAAUAGGAGGUAGCUACUUCAUUAAUCUCACUCUCUUUAUUAGCUUCUCCUCCUUAAUCUUUCUCGAACUUGGAUAUUGUAUUUAUACGUCUUCGACAUGUAGCAAAACUGUGAAAAAAGACUGAGUUCUUAUCCCUACUCUAAGCCAAUUUGCCCUUGCCCUUUGUUCCCAAUACACUUCAUCUUUAUCAAUUUUCAUAUUCAAGUGGAUCUUAGUGUUAAUAAUUUCUGCCAUCGUGUUUUCAUUCCUUUCUUUUCCCAUUAACAUAUCAAGUUGCUUCGUUAGUUUUUUCUUUAGUCCUUCUCGUCCUUUCUUAAUCAUUCUCGCCUAUACCAUUAAGUCUGCUUGUAAUUUUCCAAGUUUCUCAACUACUGUGCCUGUUCCUGACUCCCAAGAUUCUUUGAUUACGUUCUCGCACGUUUCUUCCAUCAGCCACCACGCAUCAAAUUUAAAUUUUUAGUUGCCCUUAUGAAUGCUUUCACCAUUUGUAUUAAUUAGAAUUGGACAGUGAUCGGACAUCGUGCGAGGUAGAUGGUUAACGCUAUUUGUUGAAAAAAGGAACCUCCAUUUAUCAUUUAUCACACCCCUAUCGAGUCUUUCUCUAAUAUUUGUCUCCGGUAGAUUUCCAUUUAUCAUUUAAAUCAUAAAAUCGUAUAAAAUCCAAAUUUUAAAUUUAUAAAUAAAUAUGUAUAUAUUUUAAAAAAUAUGUAUACUUGAAUAAUACUAAGAUAGAUGCAACUUAACAAGAAAAUGCCUAUAAAAUAAUAACAAAAUUAACAAUAAAAUAAGUUGUAUACAAUAUCCAAAUAAUAACAAUAAAAUAGUAGCAAAAUAAGGAGAAAACAAAAAAAAUAUCAUUAAAAUAACAAAAUAAAUAGCAGAUUUUUUUUCUCAUUUAGUGAAUUCGGACCGGACCGGAUUCAGAUAAAAAUGUCUUACCCAAGGCCUGAAUUUUCGGGUGAACUUUCAGGUCAGGCUGGGUAGCCCGGCCAUGAGCAGGUUUACUUAGUAUUAACUUAUUCUCAUCUUACGCAGACAAAAUCACUGCCACCUCAAUUGGUAGUUCCAACUUCCAAUUGCUUCUUGCUUGUAGGCAGCCUAAUGCAACAUGGCAGGUUUAACUUGGAGGCAGACUUGUUAAUUUAAACUUUAGCUUGAAAAUUUUAUUCGAUUAACUCGAAUUUAAACUCGAUUCAAUCUAAUUUGGUUAUAAAAAGUCAACAAUUUAAACAAAAAAUGAUUCAAACUUGAAAUAACUGGAACCUUAAAUGACUUGAUUAAAUAACUCUAAAUGAUUUGAAUCUAAGAUAACCUAUUUACAAACUUAAUUACCAAGACCGAAUGGCCAAAAGACGAAAUUGGCUUUAACAUGAAAUGAUGUGAAAAUUUUAAAAUUGAAUUCAUCUUGUCCAUAUCAAUCCAAUCUAAAUCUAACUCAACUCAUUCAAUUUACAAGUAUAGUUGAGGGGUGUAUACAUAGUUUCUUUAUAUAAUCAAUUCGAAUAAUAGUGAUAAUAUUGUUGAAAAAAAUAUUUAUGAAUCCCCAAAAAAAUUAAUUUUUAUAAACUGUAAAAGGGUAUAGAGAAUACUCUAAUUCUAAUUCUAAAUAUAUAUAUAUAUAUAUAUAUAUAUAAUCAACUUUGAAAGUUAUCGUCUCAUGCCAAUCGUGCUUGGGAAACUUUGCUCACUUAGAGGUUAGUCGAAUAAUACUAUUUGACAUAUUCUUAAUUUAAUUAAGAGGCUGACUUCAUUACAUGAGGUAGCUUCCAUGCCAACCACAACUACUGCAUUUCACCUAUUUUAAACUCCAAAAUCCCAUGAGAAGAUGACCUACCAAUACCUUCAAUAUUGACCAAGUUUUCUCCAUUCCAAACAUACAUGAUCAAAUAUUACCAACUCCAGUGGCCUAUUCCCACUGCUCCAAGGCCUUUAUAAACCCCAACACCAUGCUUUCUCUUCCUCACUCAAAAUCUUUCUUUCAUCAGCUUAUAAUUAGUUUCAAAAUCUCUGGACAAAAUGGGUUGUUUCAAUUGCUUUGCUUUGGGAUUCUUCGUGGCUCUGUCGCUUGCAAGCAUUGAUGUCGGGGUUGCAGCUCGUCACCUUCAGCAACUGCCUCCAAUGCCAACAUUGCCUACAACCACACUCCCACCAUUCCCAUCUAUCCCUAAUCUCCCACAGCCAUCCAUACCAUCUUUCCCAAGGCCUGGGGCGCUUCCUCCACUUCCUACCAUGCCUGCUUUGCCCACAUUGCCUACUGUACCAAGGGCCACAUUGCCCCCUCUACCAAGCAUGCCUUCGAUUCCCACAAUCCCAACUACAAUUCCCUCUAUUCCAUUCUUCUCUCCACCACCUUCUCCUUCUAGUCCUUAAAAAUCCCUUUCGCUAGGUGAUGGGUGGCUAUUCCAAUCCAGAGUCUAAUUUUUUUGUCCACCACUUAUAUUGCUUUGUAUAAAUGGGAGUUUCCCCAAUUCCCAUGUUUUUCUGUACUUUGAUAGUUAUUUUGCUUAUUAUUGGAUUAUAUACUUAUUAUAUAUAUAAUGUUUUCAUUAACUAAUUAAUUACUGAAUCCAUUGUUAACACAUGAGUUUAUGAAAGUAAGAUAAGAAUGAAACAAUAAAUAUAGACAAAAUAAAUUAAUUAUGAUGCAACGGUGAAUCAAAUCUAAAUUAUUCUUUGAGAAAGUAAACACUUGACUAAUAAACCACAAUUUAAGGUUAAACUAACUCAAAUUAUCUUGAGGUUAAACUAACCUAAAUUAUUCUUAGAGAAGAUAAACACCUGGUCAAUAAACUACAAUUUGAGGUUAAACUAAUUUACAUUUUUCAAUGUUAAAGAGGAUGAGUUUUUUAUUAGAUUUGAACCUUGAUGCUUCCUGGAGCUUUGUCACUAGGCAAUAGCUUAUUGACAAUUUUUGUAAGAGUGGGUCCAUCCAGAUCAACAGUGAAGUUGGCUUCACUAAGACUAAAAAUAAUAGUGUUAAUGAGAUUAGUUAUUAUAGUAGUGAAAUUAAAAUCAAUUUUACAGUAUAUAUUUAAAUUCAAGAACAACACUACUAGUGAGAUCAAAUUCGAAAAUCACUAUUAAGGGUGUUAAAUUAAAAUAUAUAUAUAUAUAUGAAAAAUAAAUAAAUAAAAAUUAAUUAAAAUUAUAUUUGAGUUAAACUAUAAUUAAACAUUAAAUUUAUAAAAAUACUUAUACUAUAUUUAAAUUAAAUAAUAUAUGAAAAUAUAUUAUAUUAAAUCAUAAUGAAAAUCAUUACAUUAUAAAUAAAUUGCCAUAUACCAAUGCAUACUUUUAUCGAAGAUCUAAUUCCGUAAGUAUAAAUAGGUUUAUAUCAAUGUUUUGUUAAAUCAGAUUGAUGAUCGAACCGAUUAGGCCACCAUUUCAGUCAAUCCGACCAGUUCAACCGGUCUGAUAAAAAAAUGAUUAAAAAUUAAAAAUAAAAUUUUCUUAAAUUCUGGUUCGAUCAAUUUUUUAACUAUAGUUCAAUUAGUUCAUACCCAUUCCCGAUCUAACCGGUUCAAAGUCACUCUCUGGAUCGAUUUCUUGAUCAAUUCCUAGUCCAAUCGACCAGUCCAGUUCAAACAACACUCGCCUAUACCAACAUUUUACUUAUCUGUUAAUAUAUGAUGAGCCUAUAUUAGUACAUUUUGUUAAUGUUGAUGUAAAAGUAUCUAUAAUGACAAAUUAAAUUUAAUAAUUGAGUAAAUUUUUUGGAAGAAACAGGAUAACAAUUUAUUUUACUUUUGAGAUAUGAAAUAAAAAAUUAAAUAAAAUCAAGUAUAUAUAAAAAUUAAAUUGGAUCUGAGACGAAAAAAACCUCACCAAUAUUAUCUUAUUUGUUGUUUCAAACUAAUAUUAUUUUGGUUUAAGGGAGUUUUUGUUAUUACAAAACUCCGGUAAGGAAAAUCUCGAACACACGAUCAAGUUUAACAAAGAAAAAGAAGAAAUAGGACAAGGCUCCAAGGCGUGUAUCAAGCCACUAUCUUUAAGGUUAUAUUCGCCCCCACUUAUCUUCAGUGUGCAAAUGAGUUCCAAGCAAAUUAACCUCGAGGAUACAAUGAAGCCAAUGACUAUUUGCGUUUUGCACUGACGAGAAUAGUCCACUAUGCACUGAGUAAUGUGUAACAAAAACUCAAUUUCUACAAAGGAUUUCUGCAGUAAUACUUUAUAGAAUAAUCUAAUAAUAUUAGAAAAUGAAGGAAGAGAAGAAAUAAUAUUAGAAUUUGUUGAUAUAUUUCCAAAUGAAAACCCAUUCCUAUUUAUAGGAAUUUUCUUGUCUCUUCAUAGAGACAUCUUUCAAUAGGUGUCUUUAUGAAUAAAUAUAUAAUAAUAAUAAUAAUAAUUAUUCAUUUAAUUUUGUAACUAUUCAAAUGAUAUUUUUUGAAUAAUUAUAAUUCUUUUUUAAAAAAUCAAAUGAUAUAACUUUUGACCAAUGACCAAAAGAUUUAUCUUUUGAUUAAUUACACCCAUUCAUUUAUAGUUAUUGGGAUACUAUAAAUAUUUGAAAAUGUUCCAACAAUCUCCCCCCAUUUUCAAAAUAUUUAGAUUUUGAUAUUCUUGGAAAUCAAUUUGCAUAAAUAAAGGUGUCUUACGAUUGAACCUUCACUUAGUGAAAAACAUGUUAAAGUUAAUCGAAAUUGCAUGGUAGACUAAGCUUUGAACCAACUAUUCCAUUUGAUUAACUGAACACAUCUCACACAAUGAUUUCAACAUCAGUCAAUGCUUAGUAUCUAGGGACACUAUUAUGGCCAUGUGUCUAUGUCCUCUUUUCAUGAGUGCUAUCAGAGCCAAGCCCUUAAGCUCCUAGAAGCGGCCACACUUCCACUCACAUAGGUAGAUCCCAUCAAAAGUGUUCCCGUAAUUAUAACACUCUAACAUAUUUAUGUUAUGGGUCCAUUAAGAGUAUAUUACUCAUCCUUCCAUUAUCAUUACGGGUACCUAGCACUUUAAUCUUAGGAUGAAUUUAUUUAUAGUGCUAACAGUCACAUACUAAUGAUGUACUUUGUCUCAUUGAACUCAAGACUUGACGUUAUACUAAGCGUUGAGUCGAGUUUCCAUCAUGGGUAACUCUAAUUAAUAGACUUGAGUCCCAUCCCUUUUGAGGUCCUUUUUACUGCAUCUCUAGCAAGACUUUUUGUCAAAGGAUCUGCCAAAUUUUCACUUGACCUCACAUAAUUAAUAGUGAUCACUCCAUCAGAGAUUAAUUGUCGGACAUAACUAUGUCUUAAUCCAAUGUGUCUAGACUUUCCAUUAUAUACUUGGCUAUAUGCCUUUGCUAGAGUAGCCUCACUAUCACAACGGAUAGAAAUAGGUGAAAUUGGCUUAGGCCAUAAAGGUACAUCAUAAAGCAAAUUUCUUAACCAUUCUGCUUCUUUAGAUGCAGCGGGUAAUGCAAUAAAUUCUGCUGCCAUGGUGGAAUCAGUAAUACAUGUUUGUUUCUUGGAACCUCAAGAAAUGACUCCUCCACCAAGAAUGAAGAUCCAUCCAUUAGUAGAUGCAUGAUCUUCCAAACUUGUAAUCCAACUAGCAUCCGAAUGCCCUUCUAAAACUGGAGGAUAUCCAUUAUAACACAAUCCAUAGUUAAUAGUUUUCUUUAAGUACCUAAGUACUCUAUUCAAAGCUUGCCAAUGCAAACUACUUGGGUUACUUGUGUACCUACUCAAUUUUCCAACAGCAUAUGCAAUAUCUGGUCUUGUACAAGUUAUUAUAUACAUAAGACAACUAAUUAGACUUGCAUAUUUCAAUUGAUCAAUUUUCCUUCCAGCAUUAGAUACUAAUUUUAGUUGAGGAUCCAUGGGUGUAGAUGAUGGUAUACAGUUGAAGAGAUCAAACUUUUUAAGCACAUUUUCAAUGUAAUGUGAUUGUGAUAAAGCUAUAGUGCUUUCAUCUCGGGUUAUUUUAAUCCCAAGAAUAACAUCUGCUACACCCAUAUCCUUCAUAGCAAAGUUGUUUGACAAGAAUUUCUUUGUGUUUUCUAUUUGUUCCAAAUCCGUGCCAAAAAUGAGCAUGUCAUCUACAUAUAAGCAAAUUAUGACACCCUUUCCAUUAUCAAAUUUGCUAUAUAUGCAGUUAUCGGAUUCAUUUAUUUUAUAGCCAUUAGCUAAAACAACCUUGUCAAACUUUUGGUGCCAUUGUUUUGGUGCUUGUUUAAGCCCAUAUAAAGAUUUAACAAGCUUACAUACCUUAUGCUCUUGUCCUGGAACAAAAAAUCCUUCCGGUUGCUCCAUGUACACUUCCUCUUCCAAUUCACCAUUUAAAAAUACAGUUUUAACAUCCAUUUGGUGAACAACCAAAUUAUAUAUAGAGGUAAGUGAUAUUAAUAGUCUAAUUGUAGCAAUUCUUGCUACUGGAGCAUAGGUAUCAAAGUAAUCAAUACCUUGUCUUUGUGUAAAACCUUUUGCUACCAACCUUGCUUUAAAUUUAUCAAUGGUUCCAUCGACCUUCAUUUUCUUUUUGAAGAUCCAUUUACAACUUAUUGGUUUGGAACCUGGUGGAAGAUCAACAAAGAUCCAAGUUUGAUUUCCCAUUAUUGAAUCCAUCUCAUCAUUUAUUGCUUCUUUCCAAAAAGCAGAGUCUUGAGAUUUCACUGCCUCUUCAAAUGUAAUAGGAUCAGAUUCGGUAUUAUAACAAUAAGGUAUCUUAUUGCAUAUACUUUCACCUUUUCCGUCUACAAGAAACAUAAUGAAAUCUGGUCCAAAAUCUUUUACCUUUUUAAUCCUCUUACUUCUUCUUAAUUCUUGACAAGAUUCAUCAUUAUUAUCAAUUUGAUUCAAUGGAAUCUCAUUCUCAUUUGAAGAAUGAAUCAAUUGUUGUGGUUGUAAUUGCUUGAUAUAGAAUUAAAUCUAUUUUCAUCAAAAAUAGCAUCUCUUGAUUCAAUAACAGUAUUAAUUGAAAUUGAAUCAUUUGGUUCAAUUACCAUGAACCUAUAUGCCUUGCUAUUAUGUGCAUAACCUAUAAAUAUGCAUUCAAUUCCUCUUUCACCUAACUUUUACGUUUAGGUGUUGGAACUUUUACAAUAGCUCUACAACCUUAAACCUUCAAAUAAUUAAGGUUUGGUUUCCUUUUCUUCCAUUGUUCAUAGGGGGUUAUUUUAGUUUCCUUAUUAGGAACUCUAUUCAAUAUGUGACAAGCUGUUAGAACAGCUUCUCCCCAAAAACCUUGUCCAAGACCUGAAUAUGAUAACAUUGAAUUUACCAUUUCAGUCAAGACUCUAUUUUUUCUUUCAGCUACACCAUUUUGUUGUGGUGUGUAAGGGGCUGAAACUUGAUGGACAAUUCUAGUGAGUUCAAAAUAACUUGGAUUAUAGUAUUCUCCACCUCUAUCCGAUCUUAAGCACUUGAUAAAUGAUUCACACUGAAGUUCAACUUCAGAUUUAUAAACUUUAAAUUUAUCAAGCGCUUCAUCUUUUGAAUGCAAUAAAUAUACAUAGCAAUAUCUAGAACAAUCAUCAAUAAAAGUAACAAAAUAUUUCUUUCCACCUAAUGUAGGAGUAUUAUGCAAGUCACAUAAAUCACUAUGUAUCAAAUCAAGCAAUUUUGUUUUCCUUUUAACCUUAGGGAAAGGAUUUCUUGUAAUUUUAGUCAACAUACAGGUAUUGCAUUUUUCAAUAUUAUUAUUAAAAACAGGAAUUAAAUCUAAUUUAUACAUGUCAUUCAAUUUUCUAUAAUUCAAAUGACCUAAUCUAUAAUGCCACAAACAAAAUGAUUCAACCAUAUAAGCAGAAAUAGUAUUUUUAUUCUUAUUAAUAAUAUUAAGUUUGAACAUGCUUUCAUACAUAUACCCUUUUCCCACAAAAAUUCCUCCCUUAGAUAAAAUAAACUUAUCUACCUCAAAAACAAGUUUGAAACCAAACUUAUUCAACAGACUUCCAGACANNNNNNNNNNNNNNNNNNNNNNNNNNNNNNNNNNNNNNNNNNNNNNNNNNNNNNNNNNNNNNNNNNNNNNNNNNNNNNNNNNNNNNNNNNNNNNNNNNNNUAACUUCUGGUACAUAAUAUACAUCAUUUAAGGUUAAACCCUUUCCAGAAGUGAAUUGUAGUUCAACAGACCCUUUGCCUUUAAUUGUUGCGGUGGAAGAAUUUCCCAUGUACAAGACAUUGUCAUUUUCACAUUGUGUGAACUUUGUGAACAUGCUUUUGUCUUUGCACACUUGUUUGGUUGCUCCAGUAUCAAUCCACCAUGUAUUAUCAUCUUGUGCCAUAUUAAUUUCAGAUAUCAUUGCAACGAACUUUUCGUUAUUAUCAGCCUUAGAAGAUGAUUUCUUCUUUAAAAAUCGACAUUUAUUCUUGAAAUGUCCCGGCUUUCCACAAUGAUAGCAUGAGCCCUUUUGUUUCUUUUUGAACUUAGGUGCUCUAUCAGCCUGAUUGAACUUUCUUUUGAAUGGUUUAGUAGUCUGUACUUCCUCCGUAACAUGUACUUUGGCAUUUUCAGAAUUUAGGUUCUGAUCUUGUUUUCGAUACUCUUCUUCAAUAUGAAUAAGAUUCGCCAAAGCCUCAAGAGAUAUUUCCUCUUUCUUAUGUUUUAGACUAUGACCAAGAUCACGCCAAGAUGGAGGAAGUUUGUCUAUUAUAGAGGAUACCACAAUCAUUUCAUCCAUUUUCAUAUCAUAUUGCUUAAAUUGAUUCAGCAUCUUUUCAAUAUCACGAAAUUGUUCCAUAACAGAACGACCAUCAACCAUUUGAUAAUUAUUGAAACGACUGACAAGAAAUUUUGUUACUUGUAACAUCUUCGGUCAUGUAUCUUGCCUCCAAUUUGUCCCAUAAUUCUUUAGCGGUGACGUCAUUUUGGUAGGUGUCGAACAAACCAUCAAAUAAACCAUUCAAUAUGUGGCCCAUGCACAUGUAAUCAGCAUUGUCCCAUUUUUGUCUUUCUUGGGUUGCAACAACAUAUUCGUUUUCAUUCUCUUUAGGUCUUGGAGUAUCCAAAACAUAAGCAAUCUUCAAAGUUGAUAACAAAAAGUGCAUCUUUUUCUGCCAUCGUCGAAAAUUGCCACCAUCAAAACGAUCAAGUUUAACAAAGUUAGAAGCCAACUCCCUUAGUGUUCCACUUUCAUGUGUUGUGGUAUUCAUCAUAAUAUAACCUUAAAAUUGUUAUUACAAAACUCCGGUAAGGAAAAUCUCGAACACACGAUCAAGUUUAACAAAGAAAAAGAAGAAAUAGGACAAGGCUCCAAGGCAUGUAUCAAGCCACUAUNNNNNNNNNNNNNNNNNNNNNNNNNNNNNNNNNNNNNNNNNNNNNNNNNNNNNNNNNNNNNNNNNNNNNNNNNNNNNNNNNNNNNNNNNNNNNNNNNNNNAAUAUCUUUAAUAUUGACCAAGCUUUCUCCUUUCUCAACCAUGUAUGAUCAAAUAUCACCAACUCCAGUGGCCUAUUCCCACUGCUCCAAGACCCUAUAUAAACCCCUUACACCAUGCUUUCUCUUCCUCACUCAAAACUAGCUAUUAAGAUAAAAAGACUUUGUUUCAUCUGCUUAACAGAAAUGGCAUCUUUCAAUUGCUUUGCUUUGGCAUUCUUCGUGGCUUUGUCGUUUUCAAGCAUUGACGUUGGCCUAGCAGCUCGUCACCUUCAGCAACUGCCUCCGAUGCCAACAUUGCCUACAACCACACUCCCACCAUUCCCAUCUAUCCCUAAUCUCCCACAGCCAUCCAUACCAUCUUUCCCAAGGCCCGGGGCACUUCCUCCAUUUCCUACCAUGCCUGGGUUGCCCACAUUGCCAAGUGUACCAAGGGCCACACUGCCUCCUCUGCCAAGCAUACCCUCAAUCCCCACAAUCCAACCUACAAUUCCCUCUAUUCCUUUCCUUUCUCCACCACCUUCUCCUUCUACCCCUUAAAAUGGGACCCAGUCCACAGUCGGGACAUGCUACUACUGUUCUCAUCUCAUUCAGGGUUGAAAGUGGUAGCUACAGAUCUUACAAGAUUUGAGCCGUCUUUGUAUGUUGAUUUUUGAGAACUAUUGUUUGCUUAUUUUCACCACAUAUAGGAUUUGUUUGUAUAAAUGGGAGUUCCCAUUAUUUGGUGUAUUUUGAUACGUUAUUCUGCUUACUUAUAAACUUCACAUUGUUAACAUACGAAUUUAGCAAAUGAAGAAAAGAAUGAUAAAAUAAAUUAAUUAUGAUACAACACCACAAACCAAUAAGAUCAGAAUUGAAAAUGAUUAUUAAAAAUAUUUAGUUGAAGUAUAUACAUAUAUAAUACAUUAAAUAACAAAAUACAAAUACAAGUUAUAUUUAUUUUAAACUAUAAUUAAAAAUUAAAUCUAUAAAAUACACUAUUAUAUUUAAGUUAAAUUAUAUAUUAAAAAUGUUAUAUUAAAUAAUAAUUAAAAUCAUUAUUACAUUAAAAUAAUGAUUAAUUCAGAUAAAUAUUAAAUUUAUACAUGAACUUCGUUUCAAUGUGUAAUUUGAUAUAUGAACUUUUAUUUGGUACAAUUAUAUAGAUAAAACUUAUAUUGUCGUUAAUAUGUAUAUAUGAAACUUAGAUUUUGAUUCAAUUGUAUACAUUUAAAUAAUAUUUUUUUUUCAUAUUAGAUUAAUAUAAUUAUUUACUUAUGUAAUAUCCAACGUAAAAUUGUGCUAAUUCAAUAAUGUUAUUAGUGAUUUUAGAAAAUUAAACCAAAUCAAAAUUUCAUGUAUAAAAUCGUACAAAAUAAAUCAAAAUUUAUGUAUAGUUUUGAUAUUUAUCUCUAAAAAAUUUGUGGAAUAAAAUAAAAUUUUAAUUAAUAGACUGGGGAAUGAAAAAUUAAAAAAAACUCACCAAUGAGCUUGUGUUUUAGUUGGGGUUCAAUUUUGUCUAAAGAUGUCAAUGGACCAGACCUCUAAUGACAUCCAAAGGAGCCCUUAUAAUUUGUUGUCUGUAAAAUAAUUAUAUCAUAAGACAUUAUGUAAAAUUUUCGCAUGGAACAAGUUAAGGAUUUAUUUUGGUUUUGAGAUUAAAUAAAACCACGUGUGUAUAAAAGUCAAAUUGGAGCUAAGGGCAGUGGAAAAAACCCAAGUUCUAUCAUGUUGAUGUUUGUAAAUAAUGUUUCUUUGUCGAGAUUGAGAGCAUUUUAAGAUAAAAUUCUCCAAUAAGUGUACUUCUUGAAGUUUUAAUCAUUUUUAUCCAUCCUAUCCAAAAUCAAUUUAACUCACUCUAUUUAUAAGUAUACAAGGGCGAAUUUAGGCGCUAACUAACUCAACUCAACCCAAUCCAAUUUUUGAAGAAUGUGUUUCGGGUAAUUUUAAUAAGAAAAAGUAGGAAGAUAAUUAUUUGAAAUUUUAAAUUAUAUAUAACAUAGAAAAAAGAAUAACAUAUAGGGUGAAAUACUUAAAAAUGCCGAAUUAAAAAAAAUUUAUUGGAUUAGGUCAGUUUUUGAAAAAAUUACGGAACUAAGCCGAAAUGACGAAAACUGUUCCAGCUAGAAGCGCUUUCCACAACGGUUACCCCCCAACAGCUUCCCCACCCCAACAGCUAUUUAAAUAGCAGUUGAACCCCCCUGAACUAAUGACUAUUUUUUUCCUAUAUAAACCCCUAAUUCUUUUAUUUUUUCAAUUCAAUCUCAACUCAUCUCUCUCGCAUUCUCAAACUUCUCUCAAAUUUCCCUCAAUUCCCUCUUAAUUUCUCACUCAUUUUCAUUCUUCUCUCAACUCUUCUUUUUAUUAAAAUUGUAUUAAUGUUUUUUAAAUUAUUUUUCUAUUACAAAUUAUUUCGUAUUUUUCAAAAUUAGUAACGGAAAAAUCUCUAAUUCGUUUGGAUGACAAACACAUUUCGGUCAAUCAAUUGUAAAUGGUAAAUUUUUUUAUUAUAUUAGUCUAAUUUAAUUUAAAUAUUUUCUUGUUAUACUGAAAUUUAAUAUUUUGUAUUUUUUUUAUAUAUAAUCGGAAGAUCAAAUUUUGGAGACGUAUAUUUGUAAUCUACCUGUUCCUCCAUACUUGAGAAAUACAAGAUUUUUGCACGUGGCUCGUAUGGGUAGGGGGUUUAAAUUGGACCCCACACUUGUAAGCGAGUUGGCGGAAAGGUGGAGACCCGAGACGCACACAUUCCAUCUUCCAUGCGGCGAGUGCACUAUCACACUUGAGGAUGUGCAGUUACAACUCGAGUUAUCGAUGGAUGGGCCGAUAGUGACUGGGUCAGUUGUCAUAGCCGAUUGGAGAGAUAUAUGCGAGACUAUGGGCCAAGUUAUGUGGGACUACCAGAGGAGCUUUAAGAUAUACGACUUUUGUUAGAUCAACGAUAGGAAGUGGAGGUAUAUAUUUUUUAAAUUUGAAUUAUAUAAUAUUAACAUAGUUGAUUUAAAAAUUAAUAGUAUAUAUAAUUAAAAAUUUUAUUAUUUUAAUAUAGUUUGAAUGCAUCCCGUUCGAAUUCUUGGUGAAUCCCAACAUCUGGCAUGUGAAGGUGUCAUUGGUAGUGUAUGCUAUAAUGAAGAUGCAUGAAUCAGAUAAAGUUAUGCAACAGUUUGGGUUUAGGUAAACGAUUCUGUUGACACCCCAAGACAUCGAAUAUCUGCAUUAUAUCGACUUGUGGGGGAGAAUAGAUGGAAAUUGGCCUACAUUCCACGCUUAAUAUACUAACCUUUGGAACAAUAGAUACGACUUUUUACCUACUUGCGAGGCCAUUAUCGCUCUAAAGUUAGCCUACGAUCCGGAGUACAUGCCAUGGUUUAGACACCAUGGCAAGCCAUAUCUACUAGUAGAAGAGGUGAGGGGUAGACAACGUUAUAUGAGGAGGCCACGACGGGAGCCUAGGCAUCCAAGGUCUGGAGCAGCUUUCGAGGAGAGUCCAUCAUCUACACCAACACAAGAACCGACACCGAUGGUCGCACCACCCCUAAUCAAUAUGGUUUGACUUAUUCUGGUGCUUUUCUAACCCCGUCAUUUUUACACAAGCACCACACUUGCACCACAUUUGUCUAUUUCUACAUCGAUGCCAGGUUUUAUUUUUGGACCACCACUUCCAUCUCUAGCAUAUUACACACCGAUGCAAUUGAUGUUUCAAAUGACGGCGAUUUCGACGAUGGCAUAUAGGCCAUCUAUGUUUGGGGCACCAACCGAAAGUCUGAUUGUUCUAUCAUCGGUGUGUAGGACACAAUAUAGUUAUAUGCAUACGCCGAUGGUGUCACAAACACCCAUAUUCGUAACCACCUGUUCCUAGAGUGGAUGAUAUACGAUGGCAAUUGAGGAGCACUCCACAAUCAACCUAAAUAAAUCUGAUUGAGCUCAACCUAAGAGUUAGCCAAACCUCAGUUGUAUUCGAAAAAAAUUACAAACUAAGAGUUAACCAAAUCGAGUAGUUCGAGUUUCAAUUUUGAAUCGAAUUAAAUUUUACAAUUCGAAUAAUCUGAAUACACAAUUGUUGUAAAUAUAAAAGUAAAUAAUUAUUAACUUUACAACUCAAAAAAGUAUAAAAAGUAUAAAGAAUAUAGAAAAAAACUUAAAAAAUAUAAAAAACCUUAAACCUUAAACCUUAAACCAUAAACCCCUAAACUAUAAAACACUAAGACCUACAAAAUGCUAACACUAACCCUACUUUAACAAAAACCAAAACCCUUGUCCUAAAAAAACCCUAAACUCAAAAGGAAAACACCUUCAGUUGGAAGCAUUUUCAAUGAAUGUGACAGAAAGCGUGUCUAGUUGAAAGUUUUUUUUUUUUUUUUGCAAAUCCGCUGAAAAUAUUUUCAGUAGGAAGCAUUUUCGUGUUUUUAAUCUAAUCACAUAAUUUUUCCAAAAAUCAGCUUAAUCUAGUAAUUUUUUUAAAAAUCGGCAUUUUUGAGAAAUUUACUCUAGCAUAUAUGUAUAUAAUUGAUUAGGGGACAUAGUAGGAAAGGUCUAUAAGGAAGUGUGUAGUAGAGCUGCUCAUGGGCCGGGCGGCCCGGCCCGGCCCGACGGCCCGCCCGAAAUAUGGGAGGGUUUGGGUAAAAAUAUAGGCCCGAAAUAUGGGCUUGGGCAAAAAAACGAGGCCCGAUUAAAAAACGGGCCGGGCCUCGGGCACCACUUUUUUGGCCCGGGCCCGGCCCGGCCCGAAUUUAAUAAUAAAUAUUUUAUUUUUUUAAUUUUUUAAUUUUAAAAUACUUUUAAAAUAAUUUUUUAAAUUUUUUUAAUUUUAAAAUAUUUUUAAAAUACUUUGUAUAAAAAACGGGCCGGGCCCGGGCUUAUGAAUUUUUUCCCGGGCCGGGCCUGGGCAAAAUUCUAGGCCCAUAUUUUGGGCCGGGUCCAGGCCUAGGACCCGGGCUGAAAUUUUUUUUCUAGGCCCGGCCCGGCCCGACCCAUGAGCACCUCUAUCCCAAACCCUCCCCCCUCCAAUUUUUUUUUAAUAUUUUCCCUCCAAAAUUUUACUCUCCCCUAUUUACUUUCCUUCAAAACUUUUNNNNNNNNNNNNNNNNNNNNNNNNNNNNNNNNNNNNNNNNNNNNNNNNNNNNNNNNNNNNNNNNNNNNNNNNNNNNNNNNNNNNNNNNNNNNNNNNNNNNNNNNNNNNNNNNNNNNNNNNNNNNNNNNNNNNNNNNNNNNNNNNNNNNNNNNNNNNNNNNNNNNNNNNNNNNNNNNNNNNNNNNNNNNNNNNNNNNNNNNNNNNNNNNNNNNNNNNNNNNNNNNNNNNNNNNNNNNNNNNNNNNNNNNNNNNNNNNNNNNNNNNNNNNNNNNNNNNNNNNNNNNNNNNNNNNNNNNNNNNNNNNNNNNNNNNNNNNNNNNNNNNNNNNNNNNNNNNNNNNNNNNNNNNNNNNNNNNNNNNNNNNNNNNNNNNNNNNNNNNNNNNNNNNNNNNNNNNNNNNNNNNNNNNNNNNNNNNNNNNNNNNNNNNNNNNNNNNNNNNNNNNNNNNNNNNNNNNNNNNNNNNNNNNNNNNNNNNNNNNNNNNNNNNNNNNNNNNNNNNNNNNNNNNNNNNNNNNNNNNNNNNNNNNNNNNNNNNNNNNNNNNNNNNNNNNNNNNNNNNNNNNNNNNNNNNNNNNNNNNNNNNNNNNNNNNNNNNNNNNNNNNNNNNNNNNNNNNNNNNNNNNNNNNNNNNNNNNNNNNNNNNNNNNNNNNNNNNNNNNNNNNNNNNNNNNNNNNNNNNNNNNNNNNNNNNNNNNNNNNNNNNNNNNNNNNNNNNNNNNNNNNNNNNNNNNNNNNNNNNNNNNNNNNNNNNNNNNNNNNNNNNNNNNNNNNNNNNNNNNNNNNNNNNNNNNNNNNNNNNNNNNNNNNNNNNNNNNNNNNNNNNNNNNNNNNNNNNNNNNNNNNNNNNNNNNNNNNNNNNNNNNNNNNNNNNNNNNNNNNNNNNNNNNNNNNNNNNNNNNNNNNNNNNNNNNNNNAUUUAAACUAGUAUUAUUACUUACAAAAGUUGAAAUAAAAUAAAAGUGAUACAUUUAAAAAUAAUUAUAAUUUAAUAAAAGUUGUGAUAAUUACACAUUUAAAUAUAAUUAGUCGUGCUAAUCAUAAAAUAUAGGGAAAAAUGUGAUAAUUAUAAUUAUAAUUUACGAUUAUUAAUUAAAAUAAAAUAAAAUAAAAUAAUUAUUUAAAUAGAAUUUUAAACCUAUUAAUUAUCACUUCACUGUUUGAUGAAUAUUUCGUAAUGGAUACGUUCUUUCCAUAAGGUUUUUAAUUGUUGGGUUAGAAUGAGUUUAUGUGAUAAUGUGGUGAAUGUAGUUUUGGGAGUUGGAUAACAAAAUCAUUCUACCAGCCUCUAACUUUACUGCCUUUAACCAGUUUUUCUUAAGAUUCAUAUCAGCGGAGGAAAGAACUGGUGUUACUUUUGAGGAUUUCGCUAGCCAAGAAUAUUUUAAGAGAGAAUUACAAGAGAUUGUACGAAUUUUAAAAAAUGAUGAGGAGUUCCAAAAUCAACAUUUUUUAUAGUUGGGACCCAAAUAUAUAUCCCAUAUAAGUAAUAACGUAUCAAAGUACAACAAAUUUCAAGCACAAGAAAUAAUGGGAUUUGGGAAACUCCCAUUUAUACAAACAAAUAUAUGUGGUGAAAAAAAGAACAUACAAUACUCAAAAUCAAGAGACGACUGAAAUCACAUUAAAACAAAUCCAGUAUGCAGCAGAUAAACAAAAGGGUAUUUCAAGGAGUAGAAGGAGAAGGUGGUGGAGAAAGGAAAGGAAUAGAGGGGAUUGCAGUUGGGAUUGUGGGCAUGCUUGGCAGAGGAGGCAGUGUGGCCCUUGGUACACUUGGCAAUGUGGGCAACCCAGGCAUGGUAGGAAGUGGAGGAAGCGCCCCAGGCCUUGGCAAUGCCGGUAUGGAUGGCUGUGGGAGAUUAGGGAUAGAUGGCAGUGGGGGGAGUGUGGUUGUAGGCAAAGUUGGCAUUGGAGGCAAUUGAGGCAGCUGCAGAAGGUGACGAGCAGCUAUCCCAACAUCAAUGCUUGCAAAUGACAAAGCCAUCACGAAUGCUAAAGCAAAGCAAUUGAAAGAUGCCAUUUUUCUAGAGAUGUGAGUCCAAUUAAGCAGACGAAAGAAAGCUCUUGUUUUGAUAGUUGUGGAGUGAGGGAGAGAAAGCAUGGUGGUGGGGUUUAUAUAGGUCUUGGAUCAGUGGAGUUGGUAAUGUUUGAUCAUGUAUGGUUGGAAUGGAGAAAACAUAGUCAAUAUUAAAGGAUUUGGUAGGUCAACUUCCCAUGGGUAUUGGAGUUUAAAACGGGUGGAAUGCUGUUGUGGUUGGCAUAGAAGCUUCAUCCAGCCACUUAAUUAAACAGUAUACUUAAACAAUCCUCCAGGUUAGCAAAGUUUUCGCUAGUUGGCCAGAUAUCUAACAGAAUUAGGAUUUGUUUACUUAACAUGUCAGGUAUGAUACUCGUAUUUCGAAGUUGAUUAUAUAAAUAAAUUUGCCAUGGUUGAGCUUAAAAUUGUAAAUAAAUUGCCAUAUACCUUUAUCGAAGAUCUAAUUCCAUAAGUAUAAAUAGGUUUAUAUCAAUGUUUUCUUAAAUCAGAUCGAUGAUCGAACUGAUUAGACCACCAUUUCGGUCAAUCCGAUUGGUUCAACCGGUCUGAUUAAAAAAUAAUUAAAAAUUAAAAAUAAUUUUUUUAAACUCCGAUUCGACUAGUUUUUUAGUCAGUUUAAUCGGUUCGUAGUGAUUCUCGAUCUAAUCGGUUCAAAGUCACUCUCCGUAUUGAUCUCCCGAUCAAUUCCCAAUCUAAUCGACUAGUCCAGUUCAAACAACACUGGUAAAUACCAACAUUUUACUUAUCUGUUAAUAUAUGAUAAGCCUAUAUCAAUACAUUUUGUUAGUGUUGGUAUAAAAGUAUCUAUAAUGAGAAAUCAAAUUUAAUAAUUAAGUAAAAUUUUUGGAAGAAACAAGUUAACAAUUUAUUUUACUUUUGAGAUAUGAAUUAAAAAGUUAAAUAAAAUGAGGUAUAUAAAAAUCAAAUUGGAUCUUAGACCAAUAAAAACUCACCAAUAUUAUCUUAUUUGUUGUUUCUAACUAAUAUUAUUUUGGGAGUUCUAACUUUCAAUUUUUUCUUUUUGCUUGUAGGCAGCCCAAUACCAAUGGUAAGUUUAACAAGAAAGGUAAACAUGCCAAUUUUGAUUUUGAUCCAAUCUGAUUUCACCAUAAAAGCUUAAUAAUUUUAAUUUCUUCAACUUAAAUUUAAAUUGAUUUGAAUUCAAAACAAUUUAAAUUUAAAAUGAUUUAAUUCUAAAUAACCAAAAUUUAAAAUGAUUAGAGCUCGAAAUAAAUAGACCAAGUAACUUAGAAUAACUUAAACUUGAAGUAACCAUAACUCAAAACAAUCUAGACCUAUAAUGACUUAACUCAAAAACUAAGCCUCUUACUGAAAUGACUUAAAGCAAACCAAACUUGAAAUUGAUAAACCCGAAAUAACUUGAAAAUUUUAAAAUCUUAAUUAACUUGAUUUAAAUUAACCUGAUCCAAAACCAAAUAAAUAUGCACAACUAAAAAGCCAUCUAGAUUAAUGUCCAACAAGUUAAUUCAUGUUUAAAAUAUUUGACAUAUUUAAGUAAACAACCCUAUGUCGGGCUACAUAACAGGCAAUUGGCUGAAACAUUGGUAAGCAGGAGGAUUAAUUUGAUCAGCUAACUUAAGACGCUAUUAAUUUAAUUAAGAGGCUAACUUAUUACAUGAGGUAGCUUCCACGCCAACCACAACAACUGCAUUUCACCAUUUUUAAACUCCAAUAUCCAUUAGAAGAUGACCUACCAAAUAUCUUUAAUAUUGACCAAGCUUUCUCCUUUUUCAACCAUGUAUGAUCAAAUAUCACCAACUCCAGUGGCCUAUUCCCACUGCUCCAAUACCCUAUAUAAACCCCUUACCCCAUGCUUUCUCUUCCUCACUCAAAAGUAGCUAUUAAGAUAACAAGACUUUGUUUCAUCUGCUUAACAGAAAUGGCAUCUUUCAAUUGCUUUGCUUUGGCAUUCUUCGUGGCUUUGUCGUUUUCAAGCAUUGACGUUGGCCUAGCAGGUCGUCACCUUCAGCAACUGCCUCCGAUGCCAACAUUGCCUACAACCACACUCCCACCUUUCCCAUCUAUCCCUAAUCUCCCACAGCCAUCCAUACCAUCUUUCCCAAGGCCUGGGGCGCUUCCUCCACUUCCUACCAUGCCUGCUUUGCCCACAUUGC